UCCAUGGAUCUUUUUUUUGUCACCAAGUCCUUCAUAAAUUUUGCAUAGCCCGGCAUUUGUUCAAGAGCCUCCACCAAAGGCACAUUAAUGGAUAAGCUCUUUAUCAUGUCAAUAAACUUCUUAAACUAAUUCUCAUUUUUCUGCUUCGCGAGCCUUUGAGGAUAAGGUCAAGGUGGCCUUGGCAAAGAAGCCUUGGCUUUAGGCACAACCAGUUCCGGCAUGUCUAUUAUGUGUUCUCUAGACGGGUUCACGUCAUUCUGAGUCUCUACCUCGGCAUCUUGAAUAUCAAUCCUCACUUUCUCAUUCACGUUCUCAUCAAUCACAUUUUCAACCACCAAAGGAAUCUCAUCUUCUUGCAACUCAACUUCAUCACUCAAAAUUUCUUUUUGCUUGGAGGCAUUCACAUCAUCGCCUCUUCCACUUCUUGUAGUUACCGCCAUAACAUGAUUGUUCCCACCCUUCGAGUUAACUACCGUAUCACUUAGUAGAGCCUCUUUAGGAUGGGUAUUCAAGGAUUGUGAGAUUUGUCCUAAUUGAACCUCCAAGUUACUGAUUGAAGUAUUGUGGGAAGCCAACUGAGCAUCAGAGUUCGUAUUCUUUUUCAUCAUCAGUUCAAACAUCAUUUCAAUUCUCCCCAUUUCAUUGUUGGAGGAGUUGGGACCUUGGGAUGGAAAUGGGGGUGGAUUGUUCGGUUGUUGAUAUAUUGGGGGCCUUUGAAAGCCUUGUCCUCAAUUUCCCUGAUUGCCAUUGUUCCAACCUCCCUGAUUCUUGCUACCAUUCCAAUUGUUGUUGUUGCCAUUCUAAUUACCCUGGUUGUUCUGAUUAUUGUUCUGAUUGCCCCAAUUGGAAUUUUGGUUGUUGUUCCCCCAAUUACUAUUCCCUUGUUGUUGUUGAUUGCCGCAAUUUUCUUGGGGUCUCCAUUGUUGUUAGUUGGACAAAUUGCCCCUUUGGCCUUGAUAGUUGUUCACGUAUUGUACCUCUUCAUUCUGUCCAUCAUAACCAUCAUCUUGGAAUCCACCACAAUCAUUGUCAUAUUGAUCUGAACUCAUUUGGUUUUAUUGACCUCUUUGUCUUCUUUAGCUCACUAGCAUAUUGACACCCUCCAUAGCAUUUACUUGGCGCGGAUUUUGAACCUGUUGUAACUAUGCCUGUGCUAGCUGCUUCAUUGUUGUUGUCAGCUCUGCUAUAGCCUGCCCAUGAUCAUGUAGCUCUUUGUGCAAGUAAGAGACCGUGGGGUCAUCCUGGGGCACAUUGGAUCUACUUUACCAAGCGGAGGACGUGUCAGCCAUCUCGUCAAGAAUGUCACAAGCCUCAUCAUAAGACAGCUUCAUGAAAUUACCCCCAGCAAGUUGGUUCACUAUACACAGAUUUAUUGUGUUAAUGUCCUGGUAGAAAGUCUGUUGGAUCAUUGCCUCAGUCAUAUCAUUGUUGGGACAUUCCUUUACCAUGGUUCUAUAUCGCUCCCAAAUCUCAUGUAAUGGUUCGGUGGGCUCCUACUUGAAAGCUAAGAUCUCAUCUCUCAACGAUGCCAUAUGCCCCGGUGAGAAAAACUUUGCAAUGAAUUUAUCCAAUAACUCAUAUCAAGUAGCGAUGGAAUGGUUGGGAAGUCUUUCAAGCCAAUCCAAUGCCUUCCCUCUAAGUGAGAAAGGGAAUAGUCUCAACCAAAGUGCAUCCUCGGACACAUUAGUUUGCUUGCUCCCCCAAUAGGUAUCCACGAAACUCUUGAGAUGUUUAUAAGCAUUCUGAUUGGCAACGCCCGUGAAAUACCCACGCUGCUCCAGCAAUGUCAGCAUCACAUUUGUAAUUUGAAAAUUUCCCGCCCAGAUCUGGGGUGGGACAAUUGCACUAUCAUAUCCUUGGUUGGGAAGCACUCGAGGAGCCACUCUUGGAGGUGGCGGGGGAGGGUUUUGAAUAUUAUCAUUGGCCCGGUGGCCUCCCUUUGUCCUUGAGGCACAAUAGGGACCUCAUCAUCAAUGUUGUCAUCUACCUCCUCCCCCAGCAGAAGAUCUCCAAUAGGUGUAUUGUUUGCUACCAUUUUUGUACCUAAAGUUGUGACACCCACAAAUUAGUAACACAAAAGGAAAGAAGAACAAUACAUAAAACUAUUUAGAUAGAUAGCCAAAAAUGGUAGCUCCCCGACAACGGUUCCAAAAAGUGAUCGGAGCCAACCCUACACCACUACAAAGUAGCGAGAGUGGUCGAAGCAGCUUUUACCCGAGAUGGUCGGGAUCAAAUUCCACAUGGAGCUAGAAAUGGGAGUUGGGUUCCUAUCUAAAUUAGAGAUUAGUAAUUGCUAUUAAUUGAUCUUCCAAACAACAUUGGUCUUUUGAUUAUUUCUAAUAUUAUACUAAAUAUAUGCUAAAUUAAGCUAAGUUAAGCUAAGAGUAAGAUACUUGAAAGGUUGUCUAAAUAGUUAAGGAGGCACUAGGGAAGUGACUUUUUCCUCAGUGGAUACUUGACGGGUUUUCUUGAGUCUAAAGCAAGGUUGUCAUGUUGGGGAUUACGAUAUAACCAAUGCACUAAACUUCUCAUUCUAUACCUCUCGGUAGUUUGAGUGAUUUUGCCCUAUUUGACUUUCUCAAGACCAAUUGGGUAUGAUAAUUAGUGCAAGCAAUUUAGGUUCAAGUCGGGUAUUACUAUCUCUAGGUUUAACCCUUUAAUUGAGGCUAUCAAUCUCUUGAAUACGCCCCAAUUCCUUAUUGGACUAAUAUUUCUAGACUCAAAUUCUCUUUUUCAAGAAGAACCCAAGUCAAAUAGGCACAAAUUAGUGUUUGCAACCACUAAUUCAACAUGAAAACCACAAAUUGGUCCAAAUAUCAAACACUCAUAGACAUUCAAGCCUUAAAACUCNNNNNNNNNNNNNNNNNNNNNNNNNAAAACCAAGAAAUAGAUGAAGAAAAACCCCAUAAGAUUUAAUUACAAGCUAAUACUUGAUGAUUUAAUGAUAAACCUACUCUAAAUGGUUAAGAACUAUUGUUCACGAGCGCAGCUAAAAUUUAGAAUACAACUGAUGACCUAAAAAUGGGAAAAGAAAUUAUUUAUACUAGGUCGAAUUUUCUGGACAAAAAUACCCCGGCGGGGGUAGUGCGGUCCACACAAAAUCGAGUGCGGCUGUGGUGAGGCUUCUUGCCUUUAGACUCUGCUCUCUGAACUUGGCCACCGCGGGCCGCACAAAAUGCACCGCGGCCGCGGUGGCUUCUAUUGCGGUCCACACAAAAAGGACCGCGGACCGCAUUGGCAUUGAUUCUCCAAAGUCCAAACUCUCUGAACUCCUUCUUUGCGGACCGCACAAUAUCGAGUGCCGCCGUGGUGAGGCCAUUGCAGUCCGCACAAAGUGCUUUGCAGCCGCAAUGCUUGAGUUUCCAAACUUUUGCACUCUCUGAAUCUCUUCACUGUGGGCCACACCAAAUGGAAUGCGGCCGCAGUGGACUUGUUGUUCUGUGCCUAGACUUGUUCUUGGUACUUGUGCAUGUUUCUCUCCUUUUUGAGCUGGUGUUGACUAAUUGUCACCUUUUUGACCAAACCCUGCAAACAAGUACAACACAUAAGCCUUUGGGACUAUUUGUACACAUUUUUAAUCAAAACUCAAGUAAGAAGGAGUGUAAAAUGAACCAUAAUUCCUAGUUAUUAGUCACUGAAGAAGACCAAGUCAAGAUGGAUGAGGUGGAAACACCUUGUCUUUUCAAUGAAGUCCUGCAAGCUCUAAACUGGGUAAUCCCAGAUUUCUCUGCCUAUGUCAAUUUUGUACUUAGAUUAUUCUCCCUUUAUAUAACUUCCUUUUCUAUAUCUGUAGGCUUCGGUGCUUUAUCAUGAGGCUUUCCUCCGAUUUUGAGGGGAGCUGAGCCAGUAUAAGGUAGAGAUCCAAGGUCUUACUAAGAAAAAAGAUGCCUUUAAGCUUCUUAGUGAGCAAAGAUAAGGGGAAGGUAAAGGCCUCCGUGCUGGCCAGAAAUGGAUCAGAAAGAACACGUCAAACUUAUCGAGCAGGUAACAAGAAUAUUUGAAGUUAGUGACGGUAAUUCGAGCGUGGUAGCGAAUUGUUCGAAUCCGUAGGUCCAACUAAAUCUCGAUGUGAUCGUGCAGCUUCGUGAGGAAGUAGAAACUAUAAAGGCUAAGGCAAAAGAAUGGAAAAGAACAUGGAUCGCUUGGCCUUAGAAAAGGAGACUGCCCGGGCCCAGCUGGCCUCGGCUGAAAUCCAGCUUUGAAGUAUAAAAGAGAAGACCUUGGUGCAAGCCAAGAAAAUUGAGGAUCUCCAGUCCCAGUUGGUUUCAGCAUAUUCUGUUUGAUUGAACUUGAUCACGGAGCUUGAAGCGGCCAAAUCAGAGGUUAAGAAAACCAAAGCUGAUGCUGAUAUUAUGGUGGCUAUAUACCGGGCUGAUGCCGAGGCUGCUCAGGUCCGAGCAAAGGAGGUUGCCGAGGCCACUUAGAUUAAAGCAGAAAGGAUCGACGAGCACACAAUAUGUCAAUCUCGAAGGGAAACCCUCUAGGAAAUUCAUGCUCGGGGCUUCAAUGUUACAACCGAGAUAGAAAGUGCUAAAGAGCUCGAAGUUGAAGCCAAGGGGUUAGCCUACUCUGAUGACGAUGAUUCUGAGAGCCUUAGUGGAUCCAAAAGUGGAGAGGGCCCCGAGGAUGAAGACGCUGCUCCUGGAGAUGACUAGGCCUUUUAGGCUUUUGAAUAGUUUUUGUGUUUCUAUCGAGGCCGCUUUGGCCUCUUGUUGUAACGACCCGGCAGGUCGUUUUAAGAAUUAAUGCCCUGAUCCCCUAUUAACUGUUUUCCCCGUGUUUGUUUCUGCUAUUUUGAAUUGCUAGGAUGUUUGGUUUUGAGUUUCGGAGAGUUCUGGGAUACUUAGUCCCUAAAUGAGAGUUUAAGUUUUAGAAAUUGGACCGUAGUCGGAGCAAUGUGAAGAAGGCCUCGGAAUGGAAUUUUGUUGGUUAUGUUAGCUCCGUUGGGUGAUUUUUGGCUUAGGGGCGUGUUCGGAUUGUGUUUUGGAAGUCCGUUGCUAAUUUAGACUUGAAAUGCCGAAAGUUGAAUUUUUGAAGUUUCCGAUUCGAUAGUGAGAUUUUGAUAUCGGGGUCAGAAUGGAAUUCCGAAAGUUGGGGUAGCUCUAUAGUGUUGAAUGUGAGGUGUGUGCAAAAUUUUAGGUCAUUCGGACGUGGUGUGAUAGACUUUUUGAUCGAAAGCGUAAUUUGAGAGUUUUUGGAAUUCUUAGGCUUGAAUCCGAUGUAAAAUUGAUGUUUUGAUGUUGGUUUAAGCGUUUCGAAGAUUGGAACAAGUUUGAAUGAUGUUUUAGGAUUGGUUGGCAUGUUUGGUUGUGGUCUCGGGGGUCUUGGGUGUGUUUUGGAUGCUCAACGGGUCAUUUUGAGACUUGUUGGAAUUGCAGAACUGCUGGUAUCUGGUUUCCUUAAUCACGUUUGUGCCCUACCCUCCACAUUCGCAUAGUGUAAUUUCGGAGGAUGAUUUAAUUGUUCUUUGUGUUCGCAUGUUUUUGCUCACAAUCGCAGAAGUCUACCCCCUCCUCCUUCGCGUUCACAUCCCUUUAUUCGCGUUCGUGUAAUAGAACUAGGAACGGGGGGUACUGUGACCAUUUCCUCUACGUGUUUGCAUUGUCCUGUCCGCGAACAUAUAAGCCUGCCUUUCCCUCUUAUGUGUUCGUGUGCUUCAUCACGCGUUCGCAUAGCCCAGUUCAGGAGCCAUCAGAUUUUCCUCUUCGCGAUCACACCUCAUUUUACACAAUCGCGAUGUACAACCACCUGGGUAGUAUUAAACAUUUCAAAAACAGGGUUUGGCCAUUUUUAUCAAAACUUAAGCUUGGGAUCUCGGAUUUGAGUGAGGAUUUGAGGGAUUUUCAGAGAUAUCGAUUGGGUAACGAUUCUUAACUCUUUUGCUUGUAACCCAUUAAUCUAAAUAUGAAUUCAUCAUUUAAUUUCAGAAUUUGUAUGAAAAUUGGGGAACGUUCUUAGACCGAAAAUUCGAGUUUUGAUUGGGGAAUUGACAUUGGAUUUGGAUAAUUUUGGUAUGGUUGGACUCAUGAGAGUAUGAGGAUUCUGAAAAUGUAAAUUUUACCCUAUUCCGAGACAUGGGCCCGAGGGGCAUUUUGGUUAUUUUACCUAAUUUUGCGUAUUAGCUUAGAAUUUGUUUGUAGAAUCAGUUACUUGAAGUGUUAUUUAUAUUAAGCAAUUGAAUUGAAUAGAUUUGGGCCAUUUGAAAUCGAGUACUCAUGGCAAGAACGUGGCUUCGGGUUGAUUUUAAGCCUGUUCGAGAUAAGUGGCUUGCCUAACCUUGUAUGGGGGAAACUCCCCGAGGAUUUGGUAUUAUUGAUAUUUGAAAUGCCUUGUACGUGAGGUCAUGAGUGAAUCCUUGUGCUAACUGUUGAAAAACUUGAUUUUCUUUAAGUAAUUUUAAUUGUCUUUCUUCUCCUGUUUAUAUUACUUGCAAUUUAAGCCUGUUGCUAGCUUAGGGAAGCAUGUCUCUGCCUUAAUUGCUUUACUUUCUCAAACUGCCUUAUUUGGAUUAUGUGUUGCAUGCUAGGCUAGAAAUACCUAUUUUACCUUGGUAUGGAAUUUAAAUUGAAUUGUGUAUUCUUCAUGUUGUUGCUAUGUGUUUACUUUGGGACUACGGGACGGUAUCCCGGGAAAUCCCCCUGUAUGUUUACUUUGGGACUAUAGAACGGUAUUCGGGAGAUCUCCCUGCACAUUUACAUUGGAACUACGGGACUGCACCCGGUAGAUUCCCCCUGUACUGAGUAUUUACAUUUGGGACUACGGAUCGGUAUUCCGAGAGAUCCCCUCGCAUUAUGAGUUAGACUACGGGACGGUAUCCCAGAAGAUCCUCUGGAUAUUUAUAUUUGGGACUACAAGACGGUAUCCUAGGAGAUCCCCGGUUGUUAUCUUUGAGUUGAGCUGCAUUUCUUUUUGUGUUUAUUUUGCCUCGGUAGUUGUUGCUGUUCUUUCUAUCCUGUGUUACUUUUACUGUUGUACUUAUUUAUAUUGUUUGUUCUACACUGUUAAGUCUUAUAUUUUUUAACCUCAGUAGGGCACUGACUUUCCUCGUCACUACCCGACCGAGGUUGGGCUUGGCACUUACCGAGUACCGUUGUGGUGUACUCAUGCCCUUUCUGCGCAUGUUUUUCAUGUGCAGAUCCAGGUAACUCCACUCAGUCUUACCAUCCUUGAGGCGAGGCGCUUCUGUAGAGACUUCGAGGAAUAUCUUCCACGUCUGCAGACUGAGGAGUCCCUUUCUAUCUUUCUGUAAUAGUAUAGCCCUUCAGUAUUUUCCUUUUUGUUAGAUAUUUCUGGAGUUAGAGCUUCUUAUGUAUCUCUUAACUUGUGAUUCAUGGGGUUCCAGAUUUUGGGAGUGUUAGGUUGAGAUUUUGUACUGUUAUAUGCCAAGUGGCAUCUUAAACACUAUUUCAUUUUGUUAUUUCGGUUUUAUAUUAUUUUCUUUCCGCAAAUUGUUUUUUUUCGCAUUUGUUAGGCUUACCUAGUCGUAGAGACUAGCAGCCAUCAUGAUAGUUCACGGAGGGAGAACUGGGGUCGUGAUAAGUUGGUAUCAGAGCUCUAAGUUCGUAGGAGUCAUGAAUCACAAGCUAGUUUAUUAGUGUCUCGUGGAUAGGUACGGAGACGUCUGUACUUAUCUCCGAGAGGCUAUGUAACUGUUAGGAAAAUUCCACCUCAUUUGAUUUCUUUGUCGUGCGAGAUUUUUAUGUCACAACUCUAAACUUCUGUCUUCUAUUCUCUCACUGAUGGUGGGGACAUGUGCUACCCGAGAUGAUCAGGACCCGCACCCCCUACUGCAUAUAUAUCAGAGGUCGGGGUCAGGGUAGAGGUCGAGGACAUGCACGUGGUGCAGCCAGGGCACCCGCGCGAGCUGCCACUAAGGUACCCCCAGCAGUUCUAGCUAGAGUCCAGGCACCUGAUAUGCCUACUACUACUACUACUCCAACUCUUCAGGAGACUCUUGCGUAUCUUAUUAGAAUAUACACCACGCUGGCUUAGGCAGGGUUGCUUCCCCUUGAUGCAGCCAUAUCUCAGUCCGGGGGAAGAGCAUAGACUCCCUCCGCCCGCACUCCUGAGUAGUGAGUGCAUGUUUAUCAGGUCCCAGAGAUUAUUCCUGUACAACCUAUUGUCCCAGGUCAGCCCGAGGACAGGGCAGCGACUUCAGAGGAUGAGCAGUUAAGAGGUUCAAGAAGUAUGAUCCUCCAGUAUUUAAUAGGUUAGCAUCAGAUGAUGCCUUGGGAUUUCUGGAGGAGUAUCAUCAUAUCCUCCGCACUAUGGGUAUAUCAGGAUCUAGUUAGAUUUCUUUCACUACCUUCCAGCUUCGAGGAGCCGCCUAUGAGUGGUGGCGUACCUAUGAGUUAGACAGUCCAGAUGAGGUAGCUUCACUAACUUGAACUCAAUUUUUAGAUAUGUUCCUGAAGGAGUUUGUUCCUCAGAGCCUCAAAGACGUAUGGCACGUAGAGUUUGAGCAUUUGUGCUAGGGUACUAUGACUAUCUCGGAGUAUAUUGUCUGUUACACUAGCUUGGCUAGACAUGCCCCAGCCUUGGUUUCUACUGUUCGCGAGAGGGUUCGCCGGUUUAUUGAGGGGCUUAUUCCCAGCAUCAGGUCAGCAUGGCUUGUGAGAUAGAGAUGGAUAUUUCAUAUCAGCAGGUGGUGAGCAUUGCUAGGAGGAUUGAGGGUNNNNNNNNNNNNNNNNNNNNNNNNNNNNNNNNNNNNNNNNNNNNNNNNNNNNNNNNNNNNNNNNNNNNNNNNNNNNNNNNNNNNNNNNNNNNNNNNNNNNNNNNNNNNNNNNNNNNNNNNNNNNNNNNNNNNNNNNNNNNNNNNNNNNNNNNNNNNNNNNNNNNNNNNNNNNNNNNNNNNNNNNNNNNNNNNNNNNNNNNNNNNNNNNNNNNNNNNNNNNNUGUGCCCAUGCCCCAGCUAUAGGUUGUCAUGGUAGGGGUUAUAUGAGUCACCCCAUUCAUUCAGCUCUUCCAGCAUCCAGUGGUAUUCCAACUCAUCCUAGGCCUCAGGAGCCUUAUUAUGCACCGCCAUUAUCUAGUGCGCCUCCUGCGCGGGGUGCUUUCAGUGGUCAGUCCAACAGACCUAGCCCGAGGUAGUCACAGCCGCCACGUCCUCCUAGAGCUUGUUUUGUGUGUGGUGACACAUGCCAUAUGGUGAGGGAUUUUCCCAGACUUAGGAGGGGUGCACCUCCACAGACUUCUUAGCCACAACGUGCCCCACAGUGUUCUCAGGCUAUGGUUAUAGCUCUAGUUGCUACCCUACCUACUCAGCCAGCUAGAGGUGGAGGUCGGGGAGGUAGAGGUCGCCCUAUAGGGGGAGGCCAGGCCCGAUACUAUGCUCUUCCUGCCCGUACCGAGGUUGUUGCCUCUAAUUCUGUCAUCACAGGUAUUAUACUGGUUUGUCAUAGAGAUGUAUCGGUUCUAUUCGAUCCAGGCUCCACUUAUUCUUAUGUGUCUUCUUAUUUUGCUCCACAUUUGGGUGUACCUCGGGAUUCUUUGAGUUCCCCUAUUUACGUUUCUACUCCUGUGGGAGAUUCUCUAGUUGUGGACCACGUUUAUCGGUCACGUUUGGUUGCUCUUAGUGGUUUUGAGACCAGAGCCAAUUUGUUAUUGCUCAACAUGGUAGGUUUUGAUAUUAUCUUUGGCAUGGACUGGUUGUCGCCCCAUUAUGCUAUUCUUGAUUGUCACGCCAAAAUCGUGACGCCGGCUGUGCUAAGUGUAACGCGUGUUGAGUGGAGGGGUGCUUUAGAUUACACUCCCAGUAGAGUUAUUUCUUUCCUUAAGGCUCAGCGAAUGGUUGAGAAGGGGUGUGACGUGUAUCUAGAUUAUGUGAGAGAUGUUAGUUUUGAUACCCCUACAGUUGAUUUAGUCCUAGUAGUAUGAGACUUUCAUGAUGUGUUUCCAGCUGAUCUUCCGGGCAUGCCGCCCGAUAUAGAUAUUGAUUUUGGCAUUAAUCUGUUGCCAGACACUCAGCCUAUUCCUAUCCCUCCGUAUUGUAUGGCCCAUCCUGAGUUGAAGGAGUUGAAGGAUCAGUUACAGAAAUUGCUUGAUAAGGGUUUUGUUCGGCCCAGUGUAUCACCUUGGGGUGAUCCUGUCUUGUUUGUGAAGAAAAAAGAUGGUUCUAUGCAUAUAUGUAUUGAUUAUCGCCAGUUGAACAAAGUUACAGUGAAGAACUGUUAUCCUUUACCUCGUAUUGAUAAUCUGUUUGACCAGCUCCAGGGUGCACAGAUGUUUUUUAAGAUUGACUUGCACUCAGGUUACCAUCAGUGGAAGAUUCGGGAGCCAGAUAUCCCGAAGACUGCUUUCAGGACUCGGUAUGGUCAUUACAAGUUCCUUGCUAUGUCAUUUGGGUUGACUAAUGCCCCAGCAGCCUUCAUGCAUUUGAUGCACAGUGUGUUCCGGCCGUAUCUUGACUCGUUCGUCAUUGUCUUUAUUGAUGAUAUUCUAGUGUAUUCCCGGAGUCGGGAAGAUCAUGAGCAACACCUGAGGACAGUGCUCCAAACUCUAAGGGAAAAAAUUUAUAUGCUAAGUUCUCGAAAUGUGAGUUUUGGUUAGAUUUUGUGGCAUUCUUAUGCCACAUGGUAUCGAGUGAGGGUAUUCAGGUGGAUCUGAAGAAAGUGGAAGUAGUGCUGAGUUGGACUAGACCAUCUUCAGCUAUAGAGAUCCGUAGUUUUCUUGGCUUGGCGGGUUAUUACAGUCGUUUUAUUGAGGGGUUUUCAUCGAUUGCAGCCCCUAUGACCAGGCUGACCCAGAAAGAUGCUCCGUUCCAGUGGACGGAAGAGUGUGAGGCGAGCUUUUAGAAGCUCAAGAUAGCUUUGACUACAGUCCCAGAUUUGAUAUUGCCUACAGGUUCGGGGUCCUAUACCAUCUAUUGCGAUGCCUUGGGAUUGGCCUUGGAGCGGUUUUGAUGCAGGACAGUAGGGUGAUUGCCUACGCGUCUAGACAGUUGAAGGUACAUGAGAAGAAUUAUCCUAUCCAUGAUCUCGAAUUAGCUGCCACUGUUCACGCCUUGAAGAUCUAGCAUCAUUAUUUGUACAGUGUCCCUUGUGAGAUUUAUACUGAUCAUCGGAGCUUACAACACCUAAAAAGGAUCUAAAUUUACGCCAUAGGAGGUGGUUAGAGUUGCUAAAGGACUAUGAUAUCACUAUUUUGUAUCACCCGGGCAAGGCCAAUGUGGUGGCUGAUGCUUUGAGUCGUUGGGCAGAGAGUUUGGGGAGUUUGGCUUAUUUACCAGCAUCAGAGAGGCCUAUGGCGAUGGAUGUUCAGGCCUUAGCUAGCCAGUUUGUGAGAUUGGAUCUUUCGGAGCCUAGUAAAGUCCUAGCUUGCGUGGUUUCUCGGUCUUCAUUAUUUGAUCAUAUCAAGGAGCAUCAGUUUGAUGACCCUCAUUUGCUUGUCCUCAAGGACAAGGUUCAGUAUGAUGAUGCAAGAUAUGUAACUAUUGGUGAUGAUGGGAUAUAAAGGAUGCAUGGUCGGAUUUGUGUACCCAAUGUUGAUAGGCUUUAGGAGUUGAUUCUAGAGAAGGCCUAUAGUUCGCGGUAUUCCAUUCAUCAGGGUGCCGCGAAGAUGUACCGGGAUUUGAGGCAGCAUUACUGGUAGAGGCGGAUAAAGAAAGAUAUAGUUGGGUUUGUAGCUCCGUGCCUCAAUUGUCAGCAGGUGAAGUAUGAGCACCAGAGAUCGGGUGGGUUGCUUCAGCAGAUAGAGAUUCUGGAGUGGAAGUGGGAGCAGAUAACCAGAGACUUUGUAGUUGGGCUCCCACGGACUUUGAGGAAGUUCCAUACCAUUUGGGUGAUUGUGGAUCGGCUGACCAAGUCCGCACACUUCAUUCCUGUGUAUACUACCUAUUCUUCGGAGCAGUUGGCAGAGAUUUAUAUCCGGAAGAUUGUUCGUUUGCAUGGUAUUCCAGUUUCCAUCAUUUCAGAUAGGGGUACUUAGUUCACAUCACGGUUCUAGAGGGCCAUUCAGCAUGAGUUAGGUACUCGGGUAGAGUUGAGUACAACAUUUCACCCUUACACGGACGAACAGUCCGAGUGCACUAUUCAGAUUCUUGAGGAUAUGCUCCGUACGUUUGUGAUUGAGUUUGGAGGGUCUUGGGAUCAGUUUUUGCCACUGGCAUAGUUUGCUUACAACAAUAGCUAUCAGUCCAACAUUCAGAUGGCACCGUAUGAGGCUUUAUAUGGUAGGCGGUGUAGAUCCCCGAUGGGUUGGUUUGAGCCGGGUGAGGCCAGAUUAUUGGGCACAGACUUGGUUUAGGAUGCUUUGGAGAAGAUUAAGGUGAUUCAGGAUAGACUCCAUACAACCCAGUCCAGAUAGAAGAGUUACGCAGACCGGAAGGUUCGUGAUGUUUCCUAUAUGGUUGGAAAGUGGGUUCCGCUUUGAAUUUCUCUUAUGAAGGGCGUUAUGAGAUUUGGGAAGAAAGGGAAGUUGAGUCCGAGGUUUAUUGGCCCUUUUGAGAUACUGAGGCAUGUUGGGGAGGUUGCUUAUGAGCUCGCCUUACCUCCCAUCUUGGCAAGAGUUCAUCCGGUAUUUCAUGUUUCGAUGCUCCGGAGGUAUCACGGUGAUCUGUCGCACGUGUUGGACUUCAGUUCAGUCCAGUUGGACAAGGAUCUAUCUUAUAUUGAGGAGCCAGUAGCAAUAUUGGAUAGGCAGGUUAGAAAGCUGAGGUCAAAGAACAUUGCAUCAGUGAAGGUUCAGUGGCGGGGUCAGCCGGUCGAGGAGGCGACUGGGAGAUCAAGCAGGAUAUGCACAGCCAUUACUCUCAUCUUUUCACUACUUCAGGUAUGUCUCUAUGCUAGUUCGAGGACGAACUAUGCUUAAGUGUGGGAGGAUGUAACGACCCAGCCAGUCGUUUUAAGAAUUAAUGCUCCAAUACCCUAUUAACUGCUUUCCCCGUGUUUGUUUCUGCCAUUUCGAUUUGCUGGGAUGUUUAGUUUUGAGUUUUGGAGAGUUUUGGGACACUUAGUCCCUAAAUGAGAGUUUAAGUUUUAGAAAUUAGACCAUAGUUAGAGUAGUGUGAUGACGACCUCAGAAUGGAAUUCCGUUGGUUCCGUUAGCUCCGUUGGGUGAUUUUGGGCUUAGAGGCGUGUUUGGAUUGUAUUUUGAAGGUCCGCAGCUAAUUUAGGCUUGAAAUGCCAAAAGUUGAAUUUUUGAAGUUUCCGAUUCGAUAGUGAGAUUUUGAUAUCGGGGUUGGAAUGGAAUUUAGGAUGUUGGAAUAGCUCUAUAAUGUUGAAUGUGACGUGUGUGCAAAAUUUCAGGUCAUUCGGACGAGGUUUGAUAGACUUUUUGAUCGAAAACGUAAUUUGAGAGUUUUUGGAAUUCUUAGGCUUGAAUCCAAUGUAAAAUUGGUGUUUCGAUGUUGUUUUGAGCUUUCCGAAGAUUGGAACAAGUUUGAAUGAUGUUUUAGGAUUGGUUGGCAUGUUUGGUUGAGGUCUGGGGGGCCCCGGGUGUGUUUCAGAUGCUCAACGGGUCAUUUUGGUACUUGUUGGAAUUGCAGAACUGCUGGUAUCCGGUUUCCUUAAUCGCGUUCGCGCCCUUCCCUCCGCGUUCGCAUAGUGUAAUUUUGGAGGAUGAUUUAAUUUUUCUUCGCGUUCGCAUGUUUUCGCUCACGAUCGCGGAAGUCUUCCUCCUCCUCCUUCGCAUUCGCAUCCCUCUAUUCGUGUUCGCGUAGUAGAACUAGGAGCGGGGGGUACUGUGACCAUUUCCUCUACGCGUUCGCAUUGUCCUGUCCACAAACGCGUAAGCCUGCCUUUCCCUCUUCCACGUUCACGUGUUUCAUCACAUGUUCGCAUAUCCCAGUUCAGGAGCCAUCCGAUUUUCCUCUUCGUGAUCGCACCUCAUUUUACGCGAUCUCGAUGUACAACCAUCUGGGCAGUAUUAAACAUUUCAAAAACGAGGGUUUGGCCAUUUUUAUCAAAACUUAAGCUUGGGAGCUCGGAUUUGAGUGAGGUUUUGAGGGAUUUCAGAGAUAUCGAUUAGGUAAUGAUUCUUAACUCCUUUUUGCUUGUAACCCAUUAAUCUAAACAUGAAUUCAUCAUUUAAUUUCAGAAUUUGUAUGAAAAUUGGGGGAAAGUUCUUAGAACAAAAAUUCGAGGUUUGAUUGGGGAAUUGACAUUGGAUUUGGAUAAUUUUGAUAUGGUUGGACUCGUGAGAGUAUGAGGAUUCUGAAAAUGUAAAUUUUACUUGAUUCCGAGACGUGGUCCUGAGGGGCAUUUUGGUCAGUUUACCUAAUUUCGCGUAUUAGCUUAGAAUUUAUUUGUAGAAUCAGUUACUUGAAGUGUUAUUUAGAUUAUGCACUUGAAUUAAAUAGAUUUGAGUCAUUUGGAGUCGAUUACUCGUGGCAAGAACGUGGUUUCGGGUUGAUUUUGAGCCGGUUCGAGGUAAGUGGCUUGCCUAACCUUGUGUGGGGGAAACUCCCCUACGAUUUGGUAUCAUUGAUAUUUGAAAUGCCUUGUACGUGAGGUGACGAGUGCAUACUUGUGCUAAUUGUUGAAAAACUCGGUUUUCUUUAAGUAAUUUUAAUUGUGUUUCUUCUCCUGUUUAUACUACUUGCAAUUUAAGCCUGUUGCUAGCAUAGGGAAGCAUGUCUAAUUGCCUUAAUUUCUUUACUUGCUCAAACUGCCUUAUUUGGAUUAUGUGCAGCAUGCUAGGCUAGAAAUACCUAUUUUACCUUGGUAUGGAAUUUAUAUUGAAUUGUGUAUUCUUCGUGUUGUUGCUGUGUAUUUACUUUGGGACCACGAAACGGUAUCCCGGGAGAUCCCCCUGUAUGUUUACUUUGGGACUACAAAACGGUACUCCGAGAGAUCCCCCUGCACAUUUACAUUGGAACUACGGGACUGCACCCGAUAGAUUCCCUCUGUACUGAGUAUUUACAUUUGGGACUAUGGAUUGGUAUUCGAGGAGCUCCCCUCACAUUAUGAGUUGGACUACGGGAUGGUAUCCCGAUAGAUCCUCUGGAUAUUUAUAUUUGGGACUACAAAGCGAUAUCCUGGGAGAUCCCCGGUUGUUAUCUUUGAGUUGAGCUAUAUUUCUCUGUGUUUAUUUUGCCUCUGUAGUAGUUGUUGCUGUUCUUUCUAUCAUGUGUUACUUUUACUGUUGUACUUAUUUAUACUGUUUGUUCUGCACUGUUAAGUGUUAUAUUUUAUUUAACCUCAGUAGGGCCCUGACCUUCCUCGUCACUACCCAACCAAGGUUAGGCUUGGCACUUACUGAUUACCGUUGUGGUGUACUCAUGCCCUUUCUACGCAUAUUUUUCAUGUGCAGAUCCAGGUACUUCCACUCAGUCUUACCAUCCUUGAGGUGAGGCAUUUCUGNNNNNNNNNNNNNNNNNNNNNNNNNNNNNNNNNNNNNNNNNNNNNNNNUCUUUUUUAUUAGACAUUUCAAAAGUUAGAGCUUCUUAUGUAUCCCUUAGUUUGUGAUUCAUGCGGUUCCGGAUUUUGGGAGUGUUAGGUUGAGAUUUUGUACUGUUAUGUGCCAGGUGGAAUCUUAAACACUAUUUCAUUUUGUUAUUUCGGUUUUAUAUUAUUUUCUUUCCGCAAAUUAUUUCUUUUUUCGUAAAUUAUUUCUUUUUCCGCAUUUGUUAGGCUUACCUAGUCAUAGAGACUAGCAGCCGUCAUGAUAGUUCUCGGAGGGCGAACUGGGGUCGUGAUACUUGUAAAGAACUUCCAUCGGGCCGUGUUGCCCUUGUAAAAAGAUUUUGAUGAUUACAUAAAACGUUUUUCUUUCCCUGGCUUCUGAAUCUGUGGUCUUUUUGUUAAUUUGCAUAAGGGUCAAAGCACCUUAGCAUAAAAUUUUGAAGUUGUAUUCGAAGGUCCAAGGUUUGAGAUGGUAGUCUCCAAGUGAGAAUUUGCUCGAACUCGGGUUAAGGUAGCCCUUAGGCUUUGCAGUUGAGUGAGGAAUUGCUCGAACUAGAGUAAGGCGGCCCUUGGGCUCGAUAAAUUGUCCCCGAGUGAGAAUUUGCUCGAACUCGUGUUAAGGUAGCCUUUUGGGCUUUGUAAUCGAGUGAGAACUUGCUCGAACUUGAAGUAAAAGUAGACCUUAGGCUUUAUGGUGAGUGAGGACUUGCUUGAACUCAAGAUAAGGUGGCCCUUGGGCUCGAUAAAUAGUCUCCGAGUGAGAAUUUGCUUGAACUCGAAUUAAAGUAGCCCUUGGGCUUUAUAGUUGAGUGAGAACUUGCUCGAACUCGAAGCAAAAGUAGCCCUUAGGCUUUAUGGUCGAGUGAGGACUUUCUCGACCUCGAGAUAAGGUGGCCCUUGGGCUCGAUAAAUAGUCCCCGAGUGAGAAUUUGCUCGAACUCGGGUUAAGGUAGCCCUUGGGCUUUGCAGACGAGUGAGAAUGAUUUCUCGAACUCGAAGUAAAAGUAGCCCUUAGGCCGUUGUAUUUUUACUUUCUUUUGUGUCUUUUUCAAGGCCAAUUUGUUACGGGUUUUCGGACGUCUGCGAGCCGUGUUAAAUUGGUCGUAGUCUUUUAGUUUAGGUGUAGCCCAAUGAGCUCGCAUUUCCGGGUUAUCCAGGCAUGCCUAAGAUAACAGUCCCCGAGUGGGUAUGGCCGUGGCUUUUAAAUUUCGAGUGUUGCCUAAGAGGUCUUACAUGGACGAUAGUCCCUGAGUGUAGGAGUGAUGAUUCGAACUCUAGUUACAAUUGGUUGUUAAGUUCGUUCUCAUAAUAGAUUCAAAGUAUGGAAUUGUAAAGUAGAAAAACUUUUUCUAAGACAUGACAUAAUUGCAAGGAAAAAUACUUCUCUUUAUUCUUGUGAAAAAUGAUUACACAUACGUAUAUGUUUCGAGCCAGCGCUCGAACAACCUAUUUGGGCACGGUUCGUUCGACAGUUUGGCCCUAUCGAGACCCCGUCAUUAUGAAGUAAUUUCCUCUCAACAAAGUUGACUGAUGUUUGGCUAUAAUUAUAUAUUUUAAGUGCAUUACUUACCUUAUAUUUAGGUGCUUUAACGCUAAAUUGUAUUAUAGGCGUGCUUAAUUGAGUUUAUUUUAUGUGUAGGUAUGUUGGAGAUGAAAUUGGGAGCGAACUAAAGAUUUUAUGUGUAUUUUAUACACUAAAAGAAUGGUUCGUGAUCAUUUAUUGAUUGAAAAUAUUAUAAUGACAUAAUUAGACAAUGAUUGAAGACCAGAAAAAAGGAAAAGAAAAAAAAGAAACAAUUGCAAAGGAUUUAAAAAGAAAACAGAAACGAGGAUUUGAAAGUUGGGAAAGAGAAAAAAAAAAUUGAAAACGAAUCACAGAAGCAGCAGGCGAGGCGAGCAAAUUUGCUCGCAUUAGAACUGGUGAUGCGCGGCCUGCAGCAAGAUGGAGCCGUACGGUGAAGCUCGCGAGGCGAGGUCUACAGCGAGGUGUUCGCGUGUUCCGGAUUUUAAAGCUUUUUUUGUCUUAUUUUUUAUUUUCGACUUGGUUAUUUCGUCUAGGUCUUUUCACUACACAUAUAAAUUGUCAUUAAACAUCAUUUUUAGGGGGAGGACUGACUUUAGACCUAGGGAGCGCAUGGACCCGCCGUGGAGGCCGAAAUUCAACAGAUUCCAUCUUUCUUCCAUCAAAUUUAGUAACAUUUACUUUUUUUUGAUGAUUUGUUAUUUUGCUAUCAUGUCUAUGUGGAGCUAAACAUCACGUUCUAGGAUUGUGGUUGUUAUGAAUAUUGAAUUUUAUUAAUUAUAUUACCAUUAAUUCAAGUAAUCAACUCUGGUUGUUUCUCCAAUUCUGUGCGUAAUUGCUUAAUUGUUUGACCAGCAGUUGACUUUUAUGUUUAGUUAGAGUAAAAUUAGAGAGAGGUUGUUUCUGAACUCGUGGCUCGGGAAAAGAUUUCACGGUUAGGAUAGAAAUAUACCUAACAGUCUUGCUUAGUUAAAUACCGUAUUAUAUUCGUUCAUGAUAGAUUCAAGACCAUAGGAAUAUAGGGUUGAUAUAUUAUGGAUAGACGGAUAGUAUUGCGGGAACAUGCUAUUUAUAUAAACAAUCCGGUCAAGUAGCAAUCAUAGAUAAUUCGGAUUAACAGGUAUAAUUACGAACUCAAUAGGAUUGAUAAAUCGACCACAAUCCUGGAGUCUAUAUCUCCCUGGGUUAUGUGUUUAAAUUUCAUAAUAGUAGUUGUAAUAGAAAAGUUAAAUUUUUGAUCAUAUUGGACAGUUAAUUGAUUUUAUUUUUCUUAGUUAUCGACUAAUCUAAAUCUCUGUAGGUUUGACAUCCGAUUUUCAAGUCACUUUAUUACUUGACAGCCACGUAUACGUUCGUAUACUUGGGGAACCAAUAAGUUCUUGGCGCCGUUGCCAGGAACUUAGUUAUUGAUUGCUUAUCUAAGUUAAGCUUUCAAUUAAUUUAUGUUCAAGUUUUUAAUUUUCCUAUUUAGUUAUUUCUCUAAAUUAGACUUUUACUUUUAUCUUAAUAGAUUUUUUUUAUUUUGUAAGUAUUUUUUUAUUUUUAUAACAAUUUGAUUUUUCUCUUAGUGUGUACAUAGUUUUCUCAACAGUACAUCUGGGGAUGAAAUAUCCGGAGGUAAGGUUAUUGAUGAAAACACUUGGUUGACGGAAGACUUUUAUGGCCCAUCUUUUUGGGCUUGUCAUGACCUAAACUCUGGGAGGUCUGAAUUUGAAUAUGGGAGUAAAGGUUGGUAUUGGGACGAAUAUUCACGAUUAAGGGAAUAUGAGGAACGACGCUAUCUUCUAACAAAAUUGGUGAAUGAUUGAUCGAAGGAGAGAGUUGUUCUUGCAAAAGAAAUUGACAAGUUUGGCUUGGCUUUGCAUAACUUGGAUGCAAAUUUGUGUGUGAAUGUUGAUGCGUUCAACGUCCAACAAUUUAAUAAUGAGUUGUAUGAAACUGAAAAAAAAUCUUCUAGACUAAAUUGAGAAGGUAAAACGGGAACACCAAGCAUUAGACAAUAUUUUUAUUGAGGAUGUCCAUGUUGAGAAGAGUGUUCUUGAGUCAUGUGAGGAUGUAGAUAUUAUUAUAUUUGAUAACUCUAGUGUGCGCACAUAUGAGGAUGUAAAUAGUAAUACAAUUCUAGAGUUGGGGCGUGUUGGUCCUCAUUCUAAAUAUUUUUCAACAUUGUGUUUGGAUGAUGACAUGGAAAUUGAGUCAUCUGAGCCUCUGGAGGAGUCAAUGGAAGAGGAACGCACUGGUUACAUUCUUGGAUUUGUCGUGCCAAAAAGAAAAAAUUACAUUCCUCAUAUAAAGGACGAGAAGUAUAGAGUGAAAAAUUUAUUACUUGGCCUAUUUAUUUUUGUAUCCCCACUAAGAGAGCAUACCAACAGAUUGGAUGCCAUGUUAGGGGUACAAUUCAUAAGUUCGAGGUGGAGGCAGAAAGUGGUCCAUGUCGUGCUGCGACAUUAAAUUGGGCGCUUGUUGGGAGGCAAGCCAGCUUUACCGCUUUCUUUUAUUAUUUUUAUGAUUUUUGUAGUGUUAUUUUAUUUUGUAGGAUUAUGAGUAUAGGAAGAAAAGCCAAUGGAUGUAUGCAAAAGCGAGCUUGAUGGUUGGAACUAGUGUGAGGUACCCACACAAAGGACCAUGCUUGGGAGAAGUCUGAGUACCCCAUAAGCCGCUAGUACUUCAUCCUUUGGCCUUUAAGGGAGUUUCUGGUCCACCCUCAUUAUUAUUUUACUUUAUUUAUGCAUUGGGAACACUACACUCCUUUAAGUGUGAGGUGGAAGAAUUCCUCUAGAUAAUUAGAAGCAGUAUGUUAGAAAAUGUUAACUUCUUAUUUUGAUUUUAGCUUUUUAUUUGUGUUUCGUAGUUGUGUAGUAUUUUAGUAGCUUAAUGUAUUUUUACUUUUUUUAAAUGUGGAAAAAAAAAAUCAAAAAGGUAGAAAAAUUGGACUUUUCCUGACGAUGGAUAUCCUAAAUAGUUUUAUUAAGGGAUUAAAGUCUAAACAAAAAUCCAAAAAUAUAUCUUUUAGCUUUCUUUAGGUAGUAAUAAUCCCCUGUGGUUUUCUUUGUGCCUCGGAUCUUUUCCAUGGGAUGUAGCUUGAACCAAGUAGUAGUUUUUCCUUUUAUUUUUUUAUUUUUAGAGUAGAUUAGAAUUUAGGGAAUAAAUGGAGGAAGUAAGAUGAGAUUCCUAGGCACCCUUGACUUGUUUGAUAGUAGCAUAGUUAAGCUUUGGCAUGUGUGGUAUCUUCCCAAUGUGCUAAAAGUGCUUAUGAUGCCUUAGUUAUGUGGAUAGCAUGUUUUGUGACGCUUAUAUCUCAUUUUCUUAACUAUUGUUCACUUUGUGCUGAAUGUUUAAUAUCUCGUGGCUUUGUGAAUACAUGUAUUAGUUAGAGAGUCGGAAUGAGAUCGUCCUUAGUGAUUCAUAUACCAUGUAUGGUGAGAUUUUUGUGUAGUCUAUGUAUUGUACUUGUGUCUAGAACUUGCCCGGCAUUUGAGUUGAAGUGAAAUUUGAGGUGAUGCUCGGUUUGAAAAAUGAUUUUAGGCUUUCUUUUGAUCUUUUUUGAGCUUUAUUGCUUACCAUAAAUAAAAUUUAUCUCUAGUUAACCCUUUUUAGCCUAUAAACUUUUAUUUGUCACCCAUAUUACAAGCAUAUACCCUUUUUUGUUCUUAAUUGACAUUGUUUUGAUCCUUUUACCUCUUAAAUCUCUUUAAUUGUGAAAUGAGCGCUAAAAAAAAUAAGAAGGGACUAAGUGUGGGGUGGUUUUUGAGUGGAACCAAUAAAAGGAAGAAGGGUGCACUUAUUUUGUAAAAUAAUUCACCACUAGCAAAAAUUAAAAAAAAAUCUGAAAAAUGAGAAGGAAAAAUUUAGAUGAAUAAAUUGAUAUCUUGUUCUUGCUAGUGAGUAUGGAUUAAAGUAAUGCCCAAAGAAAGAGGAAACAUUGUUAUGGAUAAUUUUAGUUGUGAAAUUAAGAUUGGGAUUGAAGAAUUUGGGCUUACAAAUAAUUAUGUGAUGUGUUAAAGUACUUAGGAGGGUUAGCCAUUAUUCAUAAAUAUAUCAUUCUCGUCCCUUAGCCCACAUUACAACCAUAAAAAAAAGUCCUAACUGAUUUUAGACUGAGUGAGCCUACAUUAGUAGAGAUUUACAUAAAGGGCAAGCUUAUGGUGUCAAUUACAAUUGUGUGACUUCUUUCGUGAGAGUGAGAGAUCUUCUUUGAUAUAUAUGAGUUCUUAAAAUAUAUUCGAUUAAUGUAUGGAUUCAACUUACUCUCUUGUUCUUGUUGUGAGGGCACACGGUUUCACAAGGGAUAGGUAACGUUAUUAGACUUCUCUCGAUGACGUUGGGUGUUCAAGCCAUGAGUACAUUGUGACAUUGAGUUGGUUUUUUAGGCUAGGAUUGUUAGGAGCAAGUUGUCUUUGUUGUGAAUAUUUGUGAAGUAUGGCAUAGGAAAAGGGAAAUGUAUGUGAUUACAUAUGCUAGAGUUUAAUUGUUGAUAUCAACCAUGGUCAUUGGUGUAGCGUGCCUUAAUUGUGUAAAAAUAAAGUGCUUAAGGAUAGUGUGAAUUGUUAGUUGACUCGAGGACGAGCCAUGUUUAAGCGUGGGGUAGUGAUAUUUGGCUAUAAUUAUGUAUUUUUAGUACUUUACUUACAUUACAUUUAGGUGCUUUAAUGCUAAAUUGUAUUAUAUGUGUGCUUAGUUGAGUUUAUUUUAUGUGUAGGUACGCUGGAGAUGAAACUGAGAGCGAACUAAAGAGUUUAUAUAUAUUUUAUGCGCUACAAGAAUGGUUCAUGAUCAUUAAUUGAUUGGAAAUAUUAUAAUGACAUAAUUAGACAAUGAUUGAAGACAAAAAAAAAACAAUUACAAAGGAGUUGAAAAGAAAAUCGAAAUGAGGAUUUGAAAGUUGGGAAAGAAAAAUCAAAAAUUGAAAACGAAUCACAGAAGCAGGCGAGGCGAGCAAAUAUGCUCCCAUUAGAACUAGCGACGCGAGGCCUGUAGCGAGAUGGAGCCGCGCGAUGAAGGUCGCGAGACAAGGUCUACAUCGAGGUGUUCACAUGUUCCGAGUUUUAAAGCCUAUUUUGUCUCCUUUUUGGUUUUGGACUUGGUUAUUUCAUCUAGGCCUUUUCCCUACACAUAUAAAUAGCCAUUAAACAUCAUUUUUAGGGGGGAGACCUGACUUUAGACCUAGGGAGAGCACGGAGCCGCCAUGAAGGCUCGAAAUUCAUCAGAUUCCAUCUUUCUUCCACUAAACUUAGUAAUCUUUACUUUUUCUUGAUGAUUUGUUGUUUUGCUACUAUAUCUAUGUGGAGCUAAACAUCACGUUUUAUGGUUGUGGGUGUCAUGAAUAUUGAAGUUUAUUAAUUAUAUUACCGUUAAUUCGAGUUAUCAUCUUUCGUUGUUUCUCCAAUUUUGUGUAUAAUUGCUUAAUUAUUUGGCCGGCAGUUGAGUUCUAUUUACUAUCUAUGCUAUGCUUGGGAAAAUCGUGUUUAGAUUAGAGUAGAAUUAGAGAGAGCUUGUUUCUAAACCCGUGGCUCGGGAAAAGAUUUCGCGGUUACAAUAGGAAUAUACCUAACGGUCUUGCUUAGUUGAAUACCGUAUUAUAUUUGUUCAUGACAAAACCAUGGGAAUAUAGAGUUGAUAUAUUAUGGAUAGAUGGAUAGUAUUGUGGGAACAUGCUAUUUAUAUAAAUGAUCCGAUCAACUAGCUAUCAUAGAUAAUUCGGAUUGACAAGUGUAAUUNNNNNNNNNNNNNNNNNNNNNNGUUUAAACUUCGCAAUAGUAGUUGUAAUAGAAAAGUUAAACUUUUGAUCAUCUUGGACAAUUAAUUAAUUUUAGUUUGCUUAGUUAAUGAUUAAUCUAAGUCUCUGUGGGUUCGCUAUUUGAUUUUCGAGUCACUUUAUUACUUGACGGCUACGUAUACUUGCGUGUACUUGUGGAACCAACAUUGACAUCCAAAGGAAAUGCCCCCAAUAUUCGAGGUUUAUUUUAGGGAACCUCGGAUACUGUUAAAUGAUGUCUUUGACAUUGAUUCGUGGCCGGCCUUUGAUUUUUCAGUUAGCACGAUCCUUUGUUGCCUCGUUCAAAACCUUGCCAAAAAAUCCAAUUGGGACAAAAAUAGUUCAAGGGAAAAAGAGUGUAAUGCGUGCUUUAAGACCUAAAGCUUUGUGCCGCUCAUUGUCGAUAACCUGCAAGGGUUAGUCGAAAAAUAGAAAAAAAAUUGAAAUCGCGUUUUACCUUCAUUUGAAUUUCGGAUGUUUACUAUGACCUUCUUUAGUACUAAUUCCCCGUGAACUUUGACCUCGAUCGUUUCUCCUCUCAUUCCGUGCAGAAUUUUGCCCAGAUCCGCUACUUCUACGGUCCCCAUUAUACGGUUGAUAUCGAUCUCUAUUUGACCUCGGUUCUCGGUCGAUAUCUCUCUUAAUUUAUCUACGGUCCUGAUAGGAUAAACGGACCCAGAAGGAGUACCUAGUUGAUAAUCCUCGACCCUAAUCUUUGACCGAUAUCGAUUAUGUGCAUCGGCCCAAGUGACAGUUGGAUACUCGAUCAAAUUUUGCUUCAAGUGCUAUGAAGCUAUGGAACUCUGAAUGUUGAGGCCUUGAGUAAAAGCUUGAACAACCCAUCGCCGGUGGCUGGUGACAAAUCCAUUCGUUCCAUUUGGAAUCGAGAUAUGAAUUCCCUGAGAAUCUCGUCGUCCUUCUGCCUUUCCUUGAAAAGGUAUGACUUUCUUGUUGCAACCUUGCGUGUGCCUUUAUAAAAGAAUCUGCAAGCAUAGCAAACGAGUCAAUAGAAUUAAGCGGUAAAUUAUGAUACCAUAUCAUGGUACCCUUCGAUAGAGUCUCCCCGAAUUUCUUCAGUAAUACAGAUUCAAUUUCGUCAUCUUCCAAAUCAUUUCCUUUGAUGGCACACAUGUAUGAUGUGACGUGUUCAUUUGGGUCAGUCGUCCAGUUAUACUUUGGAAUAUCGAGCAUACAGAACUUCUUGGGGAUUGACGUCGGAGCUGCAUUAGGGGAAAAGGUUUUUGUACAAACUUUUUGGAAUCUAGUCCUUUAAAUAUCGGUGGUGCCUCGAGAUUUGGUCGACCCUGGAGUUAUAGGUUUCCACCUUCUUAUCAUUUUCCUCGAUCAUCUUUUCUCCUGUCUUGAUUCGCUUUGUAAAUUCUUCGAACAUCUUUAUAACAACAGGAUUGGUCUCCAAUUCCUUCUCGUUUGAUUUUCUCGAAGUCGAUUCGACCAUGUGUACAACUUCUUGGGAUGGCUCGAGUUCGACCCAGCUUGGCGUUUGGUUCUGAUUUUGGAGUUGAGCUAUUACUGCCUGUUGGGCCUGCAACAUUUCGAAGAUUACUCGCAGGCUGAUCCCGCCAUCUUCACCGCCAUAUGCAUUCUGAGUAGCUGAUCGGGCACCCCACAAAAGUUGCUUUCUAGAUCGAUGGCCAAAUUCCCAUUGAUGACUACAUGCGAACUGACAUUGAUCGGAUCUACAGCCGAAACUCUAUCGAGGUCAGCAGGGGGUACAACGUUUCCCGGUGCAAUAUUCUCAUUCUCGACGUGGUGGCUGAGAUCAUUGUCAAUAUGUUGAGGUGCUGACUGAGAGUUUGACAUUUUUUAAUCCUGUAAUAAAAGAUACUUCAAAGAACAAGCGUAAAAUAGUAUGUGUUAAGAAAAUUUGUAGCAGGCUAUCACUAUUAUCUUUAGCCCCACGGUGGACGCCAAACUGUUUAUCCUAAAAACAGAUAACAAUUGAAUUUAUACUGUGAUUCGAAGGACACGGGAUUUACUUAGCACAAAUUGAGAGGAAAAGUAAAUUGACAAUGAAAUUAACUGCGAAUAUAAAUGAAGCAAACCAAAUAAAAUGUAUAGCUUUAAUCCUUGAGCUAGACUGCCCUCGAAUUAAGUGACUAUUUUGCCGGAAAGUAUGAAAACAGUAACAGGGAUAUUGAGAGCUGAAGGGAAAGUGAAUAUAUCACUUUAUGUAAUGUGAAUAUGAUCCUUUUUACAAAUGAUUAGACCUCAUUUAUAUAAUAGGGGAGUCCUACUCUUGGUAUAAUUCUAAAUAUAGUAAGAAAUCUUAUGAUUGACUAAUUAAUCGGCCUCCUCUCGAUACGUGCCGGAAUUUGCGCCGUGAUCCUCGCCUGAUUGCGGAUAUUUGUCUUUUCGUUAUUCAACCCGUUAAGCUGCUCUCGAUUUCCAUCUUGUUCGGUCCCGAUCUUGGUUGAUCUCGAUUUUGGUCGGUCUUAAUCUUAAUCGGUCUCAGGGUUUUGAGCUUGACAAUCUAAUUCUGCACCAUAAUAUAAUAUAAAUCAAAGUCGAUCCUUGACUUAUUAUACUCCAGUCUCGAUCAGUCACGCAAAAAGAAUAAAUCCGAUUUUGACUGUAUAUACUCUUUCAUGCUAGUAGUCGAGUAGAGGAGGUCGAGAUUCACUAAAUACUCUUACAACCUUUACAUUAUUAUGCACGGGUUGGGAUAAUUUGUGUUAAGAAAAUAUAAUAGAUAUGUAUAAAUAUUUAAUCAUGAACUAAUAAUUAAAAUAAACUAUAAAUUUGAUAAAUAAAUUCAGAAUUGAUAAAUUUUAAACUCUUACUUUCCCUACUUACAACUUUAAAUGAAAAUAUUCUUACAACUUAAAUUGAAAGAAAGCAGAAAGGGACAAGAAACACCCUAAACGAUGUAAAUAUUCUUAAAGCUUUAUUAAAGGAAAACACGUCUGCUUUUGCUAGUAGGGUCUUGACUUUUGAUGAAGUGGCAAAAUCCGCGUGUUCAAGAGAUAAGAUACUUCGUCGGCAGCCAGCCAACCAUGCACCGUCCACGCCUCUAUCGAAUCUCUAGGUGUUCAAUAAAUUUAAUAAUUAAGAAGAAUAAAUUAAAUUCCGUAAUUGACUGGAACUAUCUUGAAAAGAUCACAUACAUCCUAACAGAUGUACGAAGAACACUUAAAAAACAAUAAAUAAAAAAAGUUGCGGGUAAAUUUGCUUGCGAUCAUUCAACUUUAAAGUUUGUAAUACAAAAAUUAUUUUUACAGCUUUGGUAACAUAAAAGUCAUUAAAUUCAAAGUUUCGCACACCAAAGUCAUUUUUUUAUUUUUUUUCAUCACAUAAAAGUCAUUCUAACUUUAGUCAAGUUAACUAAAAAAUAAAUUUCACCUGAAUUUUUAUAUUUUAUAUCGAAAAUUAUGACAUGGCACUCCAAAAUAGCCAAUUAGCUUAAUAAAAAAUAUUAAAUAUGAUAAACUAUUUUAGAAAUACUAAUCUCCUUUAUGGUUAUGAAAUUAUGCUUAUUUUCUUAUUUAAUUUUUUUAUAACACUAAUCACAACGGCAACAAACCAAGCUCGAAAAUCGUGUUUGUCAUUGAAUUAUUUGAACAACGACUCAUCUUCUACUAAUUACCGGGGCCCAAGGGUCAAGCCACUAAAGCAAAGGCUUUAGGCUCCCAAAUUUUGAAGACCCCAAAUUUUUCUUUUUAUUUUCUAUUCGUAUUUGUUAUCUUGAGUUGAGGGUUUUUCGGAAACAGUCUCUCUACCCUUUCGGGGUAGGGGUAAGGUCUGCGUACACACUACCCUCCUCAGACUCCACUUGUGAGAUUUUACUGGAUUGUUAUUGUUGUUGUUGUUGCUGUUUUUGUUUUCUACUCGUAUUUGUAUUGAGCCCUCGACUAAUCCAGAUUCGUAUCGCAUAAGGCCUAGUAAAAGAGAGAACACGUUUUAACAGGAUUUAUUUCAACCACAUGACUCGAACCCAAUAUAAGGUAAGUUGGAUCAUAUACAUCUCACAACAAUCUUUAGAAGUAGGGUCUAAAUAUAUUGGGUAUGUUAAAAUUAAAAAAAUUAAAUUAUUUUAUAAAAAGUAAAUAUAACUUUUAAUUAUUGAUGUAACCGUUUAAGCAAAAAAUGGAGAAAGAGAAUCACUCCCCCUAAACCGUCGUCGCGAAUAUAAAACUUUUCAUUAUUUAAAUUUGACGAUUGACAUCAUUAGUGAGGUACCUAUAUUAUUAUUCUCCUUUUACAUUUCUCACUAAAAACGUGCAAUUCAAUAGUCCAAGUCUUAUUUUUUAUCUUUCUCAUCAGAAAACGGGUACUACAUUCUUAUAUUCUCUUCUUGAUUUCUACAAAAAAAGGUUAAGUUCUCGAUAAGUUAUAUUGUUCUCUGUAGAAAAAAAAGAGUUUUAUUUUUUCUAUAAAAACAAGAGUUGAAGAGUACCGUUGAAUAAAAUUAUAUUGCGCAUUCUUUUUUUCUCUUCCCCCCCCGCCCCCGUUACNCNCUCUACACUACAUNNNNNNNNNNNNNNNNNNNNNNNNNUUUUUCUUCUUCCCCCCCCCCCCCCCCCAGGUUUCAAGCAUUUCAACAAGUAUAUUAGAACAUCAAAAAUUAUUUUGAUAUCAAGUUAUAAACUUCUUGAAUCUAGUUCAAUUAUCUAAGAUCAAUAAUAUCUUAGGAGAGAUUAAAUUAUUUUAUAAAAGAAACUAUUAACAACUUUACAUCUUAAAAAAAUAGAAAAAUUGACUUCUAUUAAAAUAUAGAUGAAUUUUUUUUCCUUCUGAUAGGCCCCAGAUAAAAAAUUAGCUUUAGGCCAUCAAUCUUUAUUUAAAAAAGAUAUUUAUAAAAUUCACUAAAUAAAUAAGUAUAUUAGUAAAAACAAAAUAGUCAAAUUAUAUUUUUUACAUUAAAGAUAAUGAGUUUAAAAUUUAUUACAAUGAAAUCAAAAUAAGAAGAAUAAAUGUAAUAUCUGUUUACCCGUAAAAUGGUACAAUUAAAUUUAUAUCAUGAUUUUUAGAUAAGCGAAUCGAUUUGACCCAAAUAGUAAAUAACUAAGUACAAAAAUAAGAUUAUGAAAUGAAAUUAAAGGAAAUACAAGCCUAGCUAUGAACUUAGCCUGUCUCGUGGCCAAAGUGUGAACGAUACUUAAGAAUACAGGUGGCUAGGUAGAGAAUACCUAGUGGCGCGAGAUAACUCUCUCCUUUGAACUCGGCCAUUUAUCCUGAAAAACUCUACUUAGACUGAGAAUAGCGUUAUAAAAUAAGAACAGACUGUAGCAUUUGUGUACAGAAUAUUUUUUCCUACAAUGAAUGUUAAUCCUCCUAUUUAUGACUCUAUUUAGGGAGACAAGAUACCCAAAUCAAGCUCCUCUUGAAUGAGAAUAAAAUCAUCAUUGAUGAUUGCAUAACGGUUGGUUAUAAAUGCGGGAUGCGCUGUACGGUAGUAGUUUAUGUUAGAUGCUUAUCUGGUACCUUCUUUAUGACUUUCGACCAUAUUCUCUGUAAUAGCUGCUCAUUGAAUGCUAUCCGAUGUCAAUAUUUUGAACAUUUUCUAUCGGCUACUCUGUCUUCGGGAUUCAUUCAACACUAGCCACAUGUUUGCAUCCAAUGUCAGUUGUUCGCUGACUCACGUCCCAUCUGUCUUCAGUUCCACAUGUCACUUCGUCAUUCGUCCAAUUGUCUCUAACCAAGUUUACCCUAUACAGAUAGCCCCCUAGUUUCCGGUGAUGCAACUUAGUGUUACCGGGAAGUAGAUAAGAGUUUUUUUCCUUGACGGAAAAGUUCUUGAAUAUUCCCUGACACUUGAUAGGAUGCACAUCUUCUCGCAUUUGAUAACCCGAACACGUAUUGUUCCAUGAUUCAGCAAAUAUUUUUGUCAAUUUUCGAGGUAAUCAUUACCACAAUUUUUGUCAUCUACAAAUUCUCCAGUACUCCUUAUUUUUACUCUUUACCUUUUACAACUUCCUCUUCUUCUUAGAUUUAUCUUAGAACCCUACUGCAAACUUUAACUUUCUUAGUAAAAUUUUCUUCUCAAAUUUCUCACCAUCAUGUCUUCUAACACUGUUACCUUCAAAAAUUCUGGCCUUCUCUUCGAUGGAGGUCUAAUGAAGAACAUAACCAAAGAGGUUGAUGUCGAGUUUAAACCUCCAACCAUAAACACCAUUAUACCUCUUCACCUUAGCACGAAAUCUGACCUUCAAGAACAAAAAGAAACUGCAAAUCCCCAAAGUGAUAGACACUAGCCUAUUAACAAGUAUCCUCUUCCAUUCGUCCUCCUAGCAUCCCUUUCAUGAAGGAGGAUUGUAAUUGGAACAACAUUGAAAUCCUCACCCCUAGCAAGCUAGAAAGAGUCACCUUCUCCGGUGGCUUGCCUCUGCCAAUUGUGCUCUAAGACCGGGGAAACCCUAACUCUUGCACAUAUGAUGAAUCUCUACUCCUCAAAGAUCUUCUAUGGAGGUGUACUAAAACUUAGAAAACACGGUCAUCAUACCCUUCUUACCAGCAUCGAUAAUGACAACGACCAUGGAUGAAUGGAAUGGUGCGUUAUCAUUGCUACCAGGGACAUCCUCCCGGUCACAACACCUGCUCUUCCCGAAUCAUGGAAUCUUUUCUGUAAGUCUUCGGAUAUCGUUUUGUUUUCAUCUUUAGAAAGACUUUCCUUCUCUACAAACUUUACAUUUUCCUUACUCCAACAACUCACUGGAAGCCACAGAAAAUUGUGGAUAUUACUACACCAGAAUCCCGAAGGUAGAGAGAAAUGGCUCCCAAAUAUUGAUGAAAAUUAAAAUUAUGGUAAACACAAAUUCUUCUUCCCUUCUUUCAAUCUUUCAAUAUAUCUUGGAAGCAAUUAAACUUUCUUCUUGUACCAUACAGGACUUCCGAAGGGAUCCGUUUUCUCUGACAUCGAGGCUUUUGACAACCCGAUGAAGGCUCAAUGGGUACUAUAGAAUGCCCUUAACCGGAGGAGAGAUCGCGAAUCUACUCGCAUUUCUAGUAAAGGUACCUCCUUCCGGAGUCCCCAACCCAAAAAUAAGAAACCAAAGAGGAAGCAUACCUUCUCGGCUAGGACUCAAGAGAAGAGAAUGAAAGAAACACCAACCGGACCUGCCAUAGUGUUCCUUGAUGAAGAAGAAACUGAUGAUGAAGUGGUUUCUCUUCAAAGAAAAAAAAAAAUCUUCAUCAACUCAAUUGGAUGAUCAGCCGGGAGAACUUCAAACUCCACCACUAGAAGAAGUUCAAGAACUCCGGAGGAAAUGGAAAUAGCCGAAAAUGCUUCAUCUCGUUUUCGAAUUCNNNNNNNNNNNNNNNNNNNNNNNNNNNNNNNNNNNNNNNNNNNNNNNNNNNNNNNNNNNNNNNNNNNNNNNNNNNNNNNNNNNNNNNNNNNNNNNNNNNNNNNNNNNNNNNNNNNNNNNNNNNNNNNNNNNNNNNNNNNNNNNNNNNNNNNNNNNNNNNNNNNNNNNNNNNNNNNNNNNNNNNNNNNNNNNNNNNNNNNNNNNNNNNNNNNNNNNNNNNNNNNNNNNNNNNNNNNNNNNNNNNNNNNNNNNNNNNNNNNNNNNNNNNNNNNNNNNNNNNNNNNNNNNNNNNNNNNNNNNNNNNNNNNNNNNNNNNNNNNNNNNNNNNNNNNNNNNNNNNNNNNNNNNNNNNNNNNNNNNNNNNNNNNNNNNNNNNNNNNNNNNNNNNNNNNNNNNNNNNNNNNNNNNNNNNNNNNNNNNNNNNNNNNNNNNNNNNNNNNNNNNNNNNNNNNNNNNNNNNNNNNNNNNNNNNNNNNNNNNNNNNNNNNNNNNNNNNNNNNNNNNNNNNNNNNNNNNNNNNNNNNNNNNNNNNNNNNNNNNNNNNNNNNNNNNNNNNNNNNNNNNNNNNNNNNNNNNNNNNNNNNNNNNNNNNNNNNNNNNNNNNNNNNNNNNNNNNNNNNNNNNNNNNNNNNNNNNNNNNNNNNNNNNNNNNNNNNNNNNNNNNNNNNNNNNNNNNNNNNNNNNNNNNNNNNNNNNNNNNNNNNNNNNNNNNNNNNNNNNNNNNNNNNNNNNNNNNNNNNNNNNNNNNNNNNNNNNNNNNNNNNNNNNNNNNNACCGACACCAGCUGAACAAAAAAGAAAUGCCCCUUCUCCAGGGUCGCCCGACCAUGGAAAUUUUGGAAAUACUUACUCGGCACCCACUUGAGAUAGAAAAUGAAGUGUCAUCCUCUCGGAUUAGAAUGAGUGCCAUAUACUUUCCAAGCUGGUGGAGCUUGCCAAUAAUUUGAAGUCGUUGGCCUCAGAAAAAGAUUAGAGAAAGAUGGACUCUCUUUCUACGGAGUGUUUGAUAAAUAAUAACAUGCAUUAUUCGGCACAAGUAUCAAUCUAACUUUCUUUCAUCUCUGUGUAACUUAUACUUUGCAUUAAAAGCAUUAGUUCUAACCUUUUUCACGCUAACCUUCUUGCUUAUGAGGGCCUGCAAAGGUUGAUUUUGGACAAGUAAUAGCUUACUUCAGAACGAAAUUAACUUUUGGCUAAACAGAAUCAUCUUGCUGAGUGCCUCCAAGUGCUGGAGGCAAAAAAUUGUUCAAAUGGAUAAUCUUGAGGUCCGUUGCAGAAGUUCUAGCAAGAUAGAAUGGUACACAUCCAAGAGGCCGUUCAAUUGCAUGAAUACCUCAAAGAUGCAAAGGCUAAGUGGGUUGAACUUCAUGAUACCGUAACUGUUGCUAUCGAGCGUGAGUCUACCUUCAUGGAACAAGUUAAUAAUUUGGAGGUUAGCUUACGCUUUAAAAUUGAGGAGGCCAAUUCUGCCGAGGAGAGAAGAGCAAUAAUGGAGGAAAGAAUCAAAAGAGUCAUGGAGUAGAAUCACUUUCACUUGACCACCAAUGUUGAGCUUGAUUUCAGAAUCAACAUUAUGAAACCUGAAAAUGAAAAGCUCCAAGCGAAGAUUGAAAAUAUCCGAGCUAAACUCGAAGAUAGGGAAUAUUAUCUCCUCUUCGAUAAGACUUACGCCAUAUACCAUACAAAGAGGAAGACUUUGGAGGAGGCCAAAGAAGGCAUUGCAAACAUCGACGAAUACAUUGCAAAGGCCCGAGAGCUGGAAACAACUGCCCAUGAUAAUCUCCCUGCUCGGUACGUGCUUCUGAAUCUUUGAAUACUAACUCUGAGUAUUUGGGAACCGAAGGAAAAACUGCAAAAGAUGAGGGCCUCGAACCGGAAGCGGAACAGCCUUCUCCCGAUAAAGAAAAUAAAAACUAUUCUUUCCCUUCGGGUUCUGGCAGCAAGAACUAAUGUACAUAUUUUUUCUUUACUUUUUGUAACUAUGCCAAAACUUCUUUAUUGAGUUUGUUAUUUUAAUUUAUAAAAGAAACUCUUUGCUUAAGUGUUGUGUAAAAAAUAUUCUUUUUCAUUUAACUGGCAAAGCUUCACGAAUCUUUUCACAUUCGAUAGCUUUUGAUUCCGUGCAUAAGCACUUCCGUAGUCUACCCUUUACUAUGAGAGUUUACUAAGAGAGGGCCCUUAUGUUUAUAGAGCUCUUGAAUAGGAUGUAUCUUGUUCAUUCUGACACAAGCAUUUGAAGUUUUUAUUAACUUUCAAACGAUAAAAUAAAUUCACUCAUCAUUCGGACAAGAAAUAAGAUACAAAUAAAAGGACUUUGAUUUAUUCCCUCUAUCUUUAAAAGUACAUUUACAUAAAUAUUCUUUUGCUUAAGUAAAUAAAGUUGUCAAUACAUGUGGCUAACUUGUACAACUUAUUUCUACGGGGUUGAACAUGCAGUUCCCGAUCUUGAUAAGACAUUGAUCCCGGUUCUAAUAGUCCCCAGUCUUCGUAAUACUUUUAGUUCCUUGUCAUGUAUUAUUCCUCCCCCCCUCCCCCGAUGUUAGAAUGCUAAGUACGAGAAUUUGAACAUUGGAAGUCUUGCAUUCACUGAUGACCAUUCUUUCGUAGUAUGUUUUACAUUGCUGCCUCAUUAAAAUGAGAGUUUUAUGAGAUGACAUAUGCUAUCGAGCCAUAGAUUAUUUAGCCAUCCACAAGCUUCUUGUCACAUGAGCUGAUCUACAGAACUGUUUAUACUCAUGUUAAAGUGAAGGCAAUAGGGCUUAUGGUUGUUGAUUCACCAAUGAAGGCAAAUGAUUAUCUACAGAUUGCAUCUUACAUAGAGCAUCCUUGCCGAUGAUCCUUCCUUUAUAGUAUGCUUUACGUUGUUUCCUCAUUAAACAUCUUGUCAAAAAAAUCUAAUUAGGAAAAAAAUUGGACGAUGAAAAAAAGAGUGCAGCGUACUUUCAGUGCCAGCAUGGAUCUUUAGCAAUAAUACCUUUUGAGGUGAGUCACAUUCCAAUUGCUUGGAAAUUUAACUCCAUCUUGAUUUUUUAAUUCAUACUAACCUUUAUCGGUAAUAGAUAAAACCAGGAAAGGUCCUUCCCAUGUUGGUCCUAGCUUCCCGACAUUAAGUUCCCGAGUAUUUUGAGGUACCUUUCUCAGAACCAAAUCCCCAAUUUUAAAGUAUCAAAGACUUGCUCUAUGGUUGUAAUAUAUUUCCAUCCUUUGCUUUUGUGCCACUAUCCUCACAGAUGCUAGUUUUCGGUACUCUUCAAGUAAAUCUAAUUUAACCAGCAAUGCUUCAUUGUUUGUUUCUUCGUUUGCUUAUGAAAACCUUAAGGUUGGUUCCCCCACUUCAACCGGAAUCAAAGCCUCUGAACCGUAUACAGGAGAAAAGGGUGUUUCAUCCGUGCUCAACUUCGCCGUGGUCCGAUAUGCCCACAACACACUCGAUAGCUCAUCUGGCCACUUGCCUUUAACAUCUUCUAACUUCUUCUUAUGGUUUUGAAUAAUUAACUUGUUGGUUGACUCUGCCUGUCUAUUAUCACUCGGGUGGUAUGGUGAAGAUGUAAUUCGUUUGAUCUUCAAUCCUUCCAAAAACUUUGUGACUUUGGAACCUAUGAACUGUGGCCCGUUGUCACAGGCAAUUUCUUUUGGUAUUCCAAAUUGGUAGACAAUGGUCCCAUAUAAAAUCGAUCACUUCUCGUUCUCUGAUCUUUUGGUAAGCACCUUCUUUAACCCAUUUAGUAAAAUAAUCAGUUAAAACCAAAAGAACCGCCGGUUGAUGCACUAACGGUGCAUGGUAGUGACAUUUUUCGCACUUUUGUACAAAUGUCUUUGUGUCUUGCUCCAUCCGAGGCCAAUAGUAGCCAGCUCUGAAUAACUUGAGAACUAAUGAGUCUGCACCGAAAUGGUUCUCGCAGACUCCUUCGUGAGCUUCCCACAUCACGUAGUCAGCCCCUGAUGUCCCUAAACACCGAUCCAAUGGUCAUUGGAACGACAACCUAUAUAAUUGUUUGUCAAUAUGACAGUAAAGACCCGCCUUGGUUCGUAGUGCCCGGAUACUUUCGGGUCUUCAGGAAAUUUUCCUUGCCUUAGAUAUUCAAUAAACUCGUUCCUCCAAUCCCAGAUUAGAUUAGUUGAAUUUACUUCAUAGUAGUCGUUCACAUCCAAUACCAAAUGCAAUAAUUGAACUACCGCACCAGAAUCAGAUUCUUUCAUUUUUGUGGAUAACUCGAAAUUGGAUAAUGCGUCUACCUCCACAUGUUCCUCCCUUGGAAUGUAGACGAUUGACCACUUUUUGAACCGGGAAAGUAAUACUUGAAUUGAAUGUGCUCCUUCUUGCUAUCGAAAAUUCCAUAUACUUGGUUCACCACCAGUUGGGAGUCACACUUUAUUUCGAUAACCUCAGAACCUAGUCCCCGAGCUAGUUCAAGUCCUGCAACCAAGGCCUCGUACUCGAUUUCAUUGUUAGUUAAUGGUUCAAUUCUAAUGGCCUGCCUUAGAGUUUCUCCCAAAGGAGUGAUUAAAACUACCCCAAGACCGGACCCUUUAACAUUAGAAGCUCCAUCCAUAAAUAAGGUCCAAACUCCCGAUACCGUUUUCAAUACCAACACUGCUUCUUUAGAAGCUAAAGGCAUUAAUCUCGGACUGAAAUCGACCACGAAGUCGGCUAAAACUUGUGACAUGAUUGCAGUCCUGGGCUUGUAUUCAAUAUCGAAUUCGGUAACUUCAACUGCCCAUUUAGCCAAUUGACCCGACAACUCAAGCUUAUGAAGGACAUUCCUUAAGGGAAAGGUUGUCACGACGGCGAUUGGAUGAUAUCGAAAAUAAGGCCUAAGAUUUCGAAAGGAAACUACGAGAGCUAAGGCCAGCUUUUCAAGGUGCGGAUAUCGUGUCUCUGCUCCUAAUAAUAUUUUACUAACUAAUAAGUGGGAAAUUGCGUACCUUCUUCUUCUUUGUGGACCAAAACAAUGAUUUUUGCUACUUCUGAGACCACUAGAUAAAUCGACAAAAGAUCACAUUAUUCCAGUUUUAAUAUUAACGGAGGGGUAGACAAGUACCUUUUUAGACCUUUCAGUUCCUGCUAGCAUUCCGGAGUCCACAUGAAGUCAUUUUUCUUUUUUAAAAGUGAAAAAAAAUAGUGACACUUUUCUGAAGACCUCGAGAUGAACCUACUUAGAGAUGCCAAUAUGCCAGUCAAUCUAUGUGCUUCCUUCAUACUCGUUAAUAGAUAUAUCCUCAAUGGCUUUGAUUUUGUCAGUGUUUACUUUGAUUCCUCUUUGAGAGACCAAAAACCGCACGAACUUACCGGAACCAACUCCGAAGGUGCACUUCUCCAGGUUAAGCUUUAUAUUGUAUUUUCUCAAAAUGUCCAAUGUCUCUUGGAGAUGUUACAAAUGAUCUCCAGCAUUAAGAGACUUAAAUAACAUGUCGUCAACAUAACCUUCCAUUAUUUUACCUAUCUGUUUUUCAAAUAUUUUAUUGACAAGCCUAUAAUAAGUGGCUCCGAUAUUUUUAAGCCCAAAAGGCAUCACAUUAUAGCAAUAUAUGCCGAAAUUUGUGAUGAAAAAAGUCUUUUCUUGAUCUUCUGGGUCCAUCCUAAUUUGAUUAUACCUGGAAUAAGCAUUAAGAAAAAUCAUCAACUCAUGUCCGGCUGUAACAUCAAUCAUUUGAUCAAUGUUUGUCAACGUGAAAGAGACUUUAGGGUAUGCCUUAUUUAAAUAUUUAUAAUCUACAUACAUUCUAAAUUUUUUGUUCUUUUUAGGCACUACUACUACGUUAUCUAGCCAAUCCGGGCAAUUUACCUCUUGAAUUGAACCUAUGUUAAGUAAUCGGGUUACCUCUUCCUUAACAAACCUAUUUCUGACAUCUACUAUCCGUCGUUUCUUCCGCCUUACCGGAGGUAAGCUAGGAUCCAGACAUAGUUUAUGGACCAACACCUCCAAUGGAAUACAUUUCAUAUCUGAAUGUGACCAUGUAAAAUAAUCAACGCUAGAUUUAAGAAAAUCCAUAAUUGUUGACCUGAGUUAGGGACUCAACCCAGUUUCUAAAUGGACUUUUCUUUCCAAAAAUCCUUCGAUUAAGGCCACUUGUUCGAACUCUUCUGUAGUUGACUUGGUUGCGUCUGUCUCCGCCGGUACCUCAAAAGACCUUGGUACCUGAUAUAAUUAUGAUGACUCCUCGUCUUUAUCAUCUUCAAUUGAGAUGGAAGAAGGCUCUGGUCCCUGUAAUUGCUAUUUGCUCGUUUCCCUGACCUUGCUACUAGAAACAGUCACUAUAUUCAUAUCCCUUGCAGCCGGUUGAUCCCUCUGAUCUGCUUGAUCCCCUAUGGUGUUGGAAAUUUUAACAAAUAAUGGUAGGUUAAAGGCACAACCUUCAUUUCAUGUAUCCAUGGCCUUCCAGGGUUUACAUUGUAGCCCAUAUCGCCAUCUACCACUUCAAACAAGGUGUUCUUCGUUACUCCUUCGACAUGUGUGGGCAGCAAAAUUUCUCCUCGGGUUGUGGCACUUGUUAAGUCAAACCCGGACAAAAGCUUUAUUGCCAGAACUAUAUUUUCAGUCAGCUUCGCUUGCUAUAAAACUCUCCAUUAUAUGAUGUUGGCUGAGCUUCCUGGAUCCACUAACACACAUUUAAUUUUAAAAUCUAAAACAUUAAGAAAAAUUACCAAAGCAUCAUUGCGUGGUAGAAGAAGUCUAUCAGAAUCCUCUUCCGUGAAGGUGAUGUCAUCUUCUGAGAUCUCUCGGAUCCUCUUUCCAUGAGUCACCAAUAUCUUUAUUUUUGCUACCAAAAACUUUUACCCAUUUGCUUCGUCUCCUCUAAAGAUCAUGUUGAUUGUCACCCGAGGUGACCUUGCUGCCUACUUUAAUGGUUCUGCAUUAUCCUAAUUUUUCCCAUAGUUGUUCUUGGCGCGGUCGCUUAGAAACUCUCUAAGGUGACAAUUCUUCAACAACGUUGAUGCCUCUUCUCAAAGAUGUUGAUAGUCCCAGUCCUACGGUCGUGAGUUCCAUGGAAUUCACACCACAUAUUAGGAUUCCUUUGGCUAGGAUCCUAUCAAAUUUGUUUUGGUAACCUAGCUUCUUUAAUAUUUCUCAUGGCCAACACCAAUUGUACCAGACUGAUAUUAAAGUUAUAAUCGGAUAACCUGGUAUAUGAUGGAUCUCGGGACCCUGACACCUCUUUCUCUUGCAACGAUCUGUUAUUCUAACCUCGAUCUGCCCUUCUAUCAAAAGCGAACAUAUCCGAUGACUGAAAUCGUUUAUUACCACGCCCAUCGAUCCUCUAGUAAGGCUAAAAAUGACUUUUAGAGGACCUCCAAUCUGCAUCAAUUUUUUUUAAAUUUAUUUUGAUUCCGAUCAUGAUUCCGUCCUUUGGAAGAUACCGAGGAGCCAAGUUGACCAUCUUUUAUUUUGAUUGUGAAUAUCUGCCCAUGAGGUUGCCUAAAAUUCGAGCAAUCUUUCCUUCAAUUUUUGGGAGGCAUCAGAGCUCAACGAGUUGAGACCCUUUGAAAAUUCCUCCACUGCCCACUCAUCCGGAACCGCUGGUAACAACAUUCUUUCUUUCUAGAACCGGAUCACGAACUCUAGUAAUAGUUUAGAUUCUCCUUAGGAUAUUCUGAAUAUAUCUGCCUUCCUUUCCUGGACCUUUCUUGCUCUAUCAUGAGCUUUGAUAAACGAAUCUGAAAGUAUUUCAAAAGAAUUAAUAGAAUGCUCGGGUAAGAGAAAAUACAAAGUUAAGGCACCCUUCGUCAGGUUUUGGCCAAACUUCUUCAAUAAAACAGAUUCGAUCUCAUGGUAGGCUAGGUCGUUUCCUUUUAUUGCUGUAGUGUAAGUCGUGAUGUGUUCCUAUGGAUCCGAAGUUCCAUCAUAUUUUAGUAUAUCUGGUCCCUUUAACAUCUGCGGCACUCCCGGGAUCUGAUAUAUUUGAGCAUGAAAUUCCUUUACAUUCUAAUCCAUCAUUCAUUUAUUUCUCUCAUGAAUCUCAUGAGCUCGGUUUUGAAAAGGUCAUUUAAGUUAUGUUCCUAGAUCCACUACCGGUACCUCCUGCCUCGUCGAAAUCGAUCUUCUCCCUUGGAGUGCCGUUAUCGGAUCUUUGAACCGUUUGAUUUGCCAGAAUGCUGGGAGGAAUCAGAGCCCUUCUAUUAGCAUUAUUAGAAGCACCCGAUAAUGUCUGCUUCAAUUCUGUCAUCACUUGAUCUUGCCUUGAGAGGUGAUCCAUAAUCGACUUUUGUUGUUCUCUCAAGAUUUUGACCGUUUCAACAAUGUGUUCAUCAUCUGCAUCAUCAAGAGUUGAGCCCCUCACAUGUCGAGGAUACUAAUCUUCGCGAACUGGGGUUGCUUCAACUCCUUCGUUGUGGGUUUCGCUGGUUGAAUCAUCACGCUGGAACACAUCUUCCUGUUCAUUAUGUGAUCCAAUAUUGUAGACAAUGUUAACAUCAUUAGCUGCUAUAUCUAAUUUUUCUUUUACUAAGGAAGGAAUACAAAUUUGUAAGCAAUAUAUAAAUAGAUCAAAGGAAUUGCACAAUUGUCUAUGCCUCACGGUGGGCGCCAAACUAUUUACCCGUAAAACAAUACAGUAAAAUUUAUAGCAUGAUUCAUAGACAAGCGAAUCGAUUUGACCCAAAAUAAUAAAUAACUAAGAACAAAAAUAAGAUUAUGAAAUGCAAUUAAAGGAAAUACAAGCCUAGCUAUGAACAUAGCCUACCCAAUGGCCCAAGUGUGAACAAUAUUUAAGAAGAAAAACUAAGAAUAAUGUUAUAAAAUGAGAGCAGAUUAUAGCUUUUGUAUACAGAUUUUUUUUAUAGAAUGAAUGUUAAUCCUCCUAUUUAUAACUCUAUUUAGGGAGACAAGAUCCCUAAUAAAUCAAGCUCCUCUUGAAUGAGAAUAGAAACGCUAUUGAUGGCUGUAUAACGGUUGGCUAUAAAAGCAGAUAUUCUCUAUAACGGCUGCUCAUUGAAUGCUAUCCGAUGUCAAUAUUUUGAACCUUUGCUAUCGGCUACUCUGUCUUUAGGAUUCAUUCAACACUAGUCAUAUGUUUGCAUCCGGUGUCAGCUGUUCACUGACUCACGUCCCAUCUGUCUUCAGUACCACGUGUCACUUCGCCAUUCGUGUAAUUGUCUCUAACCAAUUUUGCCCUACACCAUAUCAUAAACCACAACAUAGAUUAGUAUAAUGAAGUGAAACCUGGAAUGGAGGUAUUUGAAACUAUCCCAAAUGUAAUUAACAUAUUUUAGAGUGUCAUGUCAUUUACAAAAUAUAAAAAUCCAGGUGAAAUUUAUUUUUUAGUUAAUUUGGGCAAAGUUGAAUAACUUUUAUGUGACAAAACAUAGAAAAGUGACUUCUGUGUGGUAAUCUUUAAGUUGACUGAUUUUUAUGUUACAAACAAAUAAAAAUAUGACUUUACUGUUACAAACUCUGAGUUGAAUGAUUAAUGGUAAAAUUUACUCAAGAAGUUUCCCAUCUAUGGAGCCUUUUUUCUUCUUCCAUAACUUUUCUUAAAGCAAAUGAGUAUCGGGGACGGGUUAAAUAAAUCAAUUAGGAGUGUUUAGAAUAAUCUUAGUUUGUGAAUCUGCCAACGUUGCCGAAGUUUAGGAAUUGUAUUAUAAGUAGUUUAUGAUCAAGAACGAAUUUGUAGCACCUAAGGAAAUUUUUACAACACAAGAGAGAAGUGUUGGUACAUGAGGAAUCAAGUUUUUAAUACUGGUAAUUUGACGCUGCACAUCUAGCCCAAAACAAAUAAGUUUACAAGCCGAUUAAUUACGUAUGAUUGCAGAACCCUUUAUUGUGCAAGUAUUGACGAUGAUGAGACAACUUUAAUGGGAAUGUCAAUUCCUUAAGAGAAAUGCAUAUAACAAAUAAUAGGUAAAUUUAAUCUUAGUAGACACAUAAGAAACAAUUUUAGACGCCUCUUAAACAGUGUGAGCCUAAGCUCACAAUUAAGAACUUUACUUGAGCUGUGGUAUUACACCAAUAUAUUUGAACCCAAAUUAAUUUGUAAAUUUUUUUUGGAAUAAAAAUAUGGGCUAAAUUACAUGUCUCAACCAAUUGAUUCUCCUUGGCUACUUAAAAGUUGAAGGUAAACAGUCUAAAAUUGCUCAAUUUUCUAGGUAAUAUACAAAAGAAAACAUUGUAUACGGCUUGCCCGAUUUUGCUAUUUAAUCGAGACUAGGAGAUUGCGUCGGGGGUCGGCCUCGUAAUGGAUCGGUCCAGAGUACGAAGAUGAGGUGUCAAGUUUAAGAAUCGGGGUAUCAAUCGAGAUCGAGGCCAGCAACGAUCGAGACUAAGUAUGACCGACUUCGAGUGAAGUGCAAUAACGAAUAGACGAGAUAUCCGUAACCAGUCGGAGAUCACGGCGGAAAUCCCGGAACAGAUCAAAUCAAGGGCGGUUAUUUGUACUAAUCAUGGGAUUUAGUUCCAUAAUAGAAUUAUACCAUAACUAGGAUUCCUCUUGUAUAUAAAGGGGAAUCCCCAUCAUUUGUAAGGAACUUACAUUCACGCAGACAAAAGCAAUACAUCAUUCUCUGUUUAAUUUAUGUUCUCUUGUUUAUCAGUUCACUGCCUUUUAAUUGUUCUUGCUUUACUAGUUUGAGGGUAUUCCAAGUCGAGGGCUCUGUCCAAACAUUAAUUUGCUAUACAUUAGUCAAUUUCUAUUGCUUAUCUUUAUGUUUUUAAAUUGAUAUUAAGUGAAAUCACGUAUCCUUAAAACCACAUUACAAGUUUAAUUGUUACUCAGUUUUUAGGAUAAAUAGUUUGGCGCCCACCGUGGGGCAGAGGAUAAUGGUGAUUGCUUAAUAUUACAUAACACACAUUGCUUUUACACAUGUUCUCUUAAGUGUUUUUGAUUUCAGGAAUCAACAUGUCAAACCCUCAAGCAGUACCCACUCACACAGACACCGACCUUGGUCUUCAUGGCGAGAACGAGCACGUGGUCACCCUAGGAAAUAGAGUACCUCCAAUCAAUCCCGAUGUACCACAGGCCGUAGACCCCGUCGAUGUCAAUUCUCAAGUCGCCAUUCAUGGAGAUUUAGGCGCCGACCCUAAAAAUAGUGUCCGCAGAGAUGCCCAAGCAGCCGAUGAGAAUGCACAGAAUAGUGAAGAAGGUGGGAUUAGCCUUUGAAUGAUAUCGACAUGUUGCAAACUUAGCAGGCUGCGAUAGCGCAACUCCAAAAUCAGAAUCGAGCACCAAGCAGAAUCGAACUUAAUACAUCACACGAAGUUGUUCAUAGGAUCGAACCUGUACAGGAGAAAUUGAACGAUAAUGGAUGGGGAACUGACCCCGCCAUCAUGAAGAUGCUCGAGGAGCUCACAAAACAGAUUGAAUCAGGAGAAAAAAAAAUUGAGGCUAAUGAUAACAAAAUAGAAACAUACAACUCCCAAGUAGAUCAAAUACCAGGGGCACCCCUGAUUCUGAAGGGUUUGAAUUCGGAAAAAAUCGUACAGAAGCCUUUCCCAUCAAGUGCGGCUCCAAAUCUCAUUCCGAAGAAAUUCCGCAUGCCAAAAAUUCUCAAGUACAAUGGAACCACUAAUCCUAAUGAGCCUGUCAUUUCUUAUACAUGCGCAAUAAAAGGAAAUGACUUACAAGAUGAUGAAAUUGAAUCUGCUCAGUUGAAAAUUUUUAGAGAAACUUUAUCGAAGGGGGCAAUGAUAUGGUACCACAAUUUACCGCCUAAUUCCAUUGAUUCUUUCACCAUGCUUGUCGAUUCGUUCGUAAAGGCACACUCCGGAGUAGUAAAGGUUGCGACUAGGAAAUUGGACCUCUUCAAAGUGCGACAAAAGGACAAUGAGAUACUAAGGGAAUUCGUAUCUCGACUUCAGAUGGAGCACAUUGACCUACCCCUGGUUAUCGAUGCUUGGGCUAUCCAAGUCUUGACUCAGGGUUUGAACGAGCGAAGUUCGGUAGCAUCACAUCAACUAAAGUAGCAUUUAAUUGAAUAUCCAGCGGUGACCUGGGCCGAUGUGCAUAAUCGAUACCAGUCAAAAAUCAGAGUCGAGGAUGAUCAGUUGGGAGCCCCGUCCGGUUCUGUUUACCCAAAUAGAUGCGAAGGCAGGAUUCAAAAAGACAUCGAUAGAGAGCCCCGAUCGAACAAAUAUCGGUACUAACCUUAUAGCGCAAAUCACAGAAACAACGGAUUGGGACAUAAUCCCAUUCGAAAUGAUCAAAGGAAUGAUCGAGGUCAAAAUUCUCGAGGGGUCAUGUGUAAGAGUGGCUUCAAUAAACAUGUUGAGCCUAAAGAAGAGCCACGGUUAUCGGAGUACAACUUUAGCAUCGACGCUUCAGGUAUUAUGUCAGCCAUUGGACGGAUCAAGGAUACUAGGUGGCCCAGACCCCUACAGACUGAUCUAGCUCAAAGGAAUCCAAAUCAAAUGUGCAAAUACCAUGGAACCCAUGGUCAUAGAACCGAAGACUGCAGACAGUUAAGGGAGGAGGUAGAUCAUUUAUUCAACGAGGGUCACCUUCGAGAGUUCUUGAGUGACCGAGCCAAAAAUCACUUCAAAGACCGGGAUGCAAAAAGGAAACACGAACAGGAAGAACCGCAAUAUGUGAUUCAUAUGAUCAUUGGUGGGGUCGAUUUUCUUCAAGGCCCAAUAUUCAAAUGCACCAAAGUGACAAUCACAAGGGACAAACAUACUCGGGACUACUUACUAGAGGAUACCUUACUUUCAACGAUAAGGAUGCAGAAGGGAUCGAACAGCCUCACAACGACGCACUAUUAAUAUCUAUCCUUAUGAAUAAAAUUCAAGUUAAAUAUGUGUUAGUUAAUCCAAGUAGCUCAGUAAACAUUAUCCGAUCGAGGGUCGUAGAACAACUCGGCCUCUAGGAUCAGAUCGUACCGGCAGCUCGAGUACUCAACGACUUCAACAUGGCUAGUGAAACCACCAAAGGGUAAAUCAGUAUGCCUGGGCACGGGGUUAACUCCUGAGCUCAGGGAAAAUUCAUUAAAUUCCUUGUUAAAAAUAUGGAUUGUUUUGCUUGGUCCCAAUAUGACAUAAAUCCCACAGGAGAUUACCACUCAUUGAUAGAGCUUGGAUCCAAAGUUUAGACCAGUGAAGCAAAAGAUAAGGCCCCAGUCCGAGGUAAAACAUGCAUUCAUCAAAGAUGAGGUAAUCAAACUUCUCAAUAUAGGAUCCAUCCGAGAAGUAAAAUAUCCCGAAUGGUUAGCAAAUGUAGUCGUAGUCCCCAAGAAAGGGAAUAAACUUAGAAUGUGCGUAGACUACAAAGACUUAAACAAAGCAUGCCCUAAGGACUCAUUUCCUUUGCCAAAUAUUGAUCAAAUGAUCGAUGCCAUAGCCGGCCAUGAGAUCCUCUGCUUUCUCGAUGCCUACUCCGGGUACAACCAAAUAUAGAUGAACCCGGAGGAUCAAGAAAAAAUUUCGUUUAUCACUAAGUACGAUACUUAUUACUAUAAUGUAAUGUCGUUUGGGCUAAAAAAUGCUGGUGCUACUUAUCAACGCCUAGUAAACUGAAUGUUCAAAGAACAAAUAGGUAAAUCAAUGGAGGUUUAUAUUGAGGAAAUACUAUUUAAGUCCCUACACGCAGAGGACUAUUUGACACAUUUGUAGGAAACCUUCGACAUAUUGAAAAAAUUCAACAUGAAGCUCAACCCAAAGAAAUGCGCUUUCAGGUCGAUUCAGGCAAGUUCUUCAGCUUUAUGCUGUCAAAUCGGGAAAUCGAGAUCAACUCCGAUAAAAUAAAGGUAAUCAAAAAAUAUCAUAGUCGUGGACAGCGUUAACACCGUACUGUCAUGCCCCAAAUCUAACGAGGCAUGGACGGCACUUGGUGCCAUACUUGGCCUGAGCAUACCACUAUGUAACUAGAAACUCUAGAGGGGUAACCCUCAACUUAGGCCGAUGAGGCCAUAUUUUGAAUCGUCUAAAAAUAACAUCUCUCUCAUUUGUGGGGUAAAUAUACCCAAAAGCUCAUAUAUAUAUAUAACUGUGGAGGCUGACGAGGCCGUCAUGAACAUCUACUGAUAUACAAACUAUACAGGACUCGUCUACAAGCCUCUAGAGAUAACUGAACUGUACCAUGGUCGGGACAGGGUCUCGACCUACCCAUCAAAUCUGUAUAUAUAAAAUGGACUCCAAGGUCUAGACCUGGUAACUCCAAGGAAGUGGAGCUUACCAACCAAGCUGAUGUUUGACUCUAUCUGCUGGGAGGGUCUGUCCAACUAUCAAUGAGGACCUGCAGGCAUGAAAUCCAGUGUCCCAAGCAAAAGGGACGUCAAUACGAAAUAAUGUACCGAGUAUGUAAGGCAACAGAAUAACUGAAAACUGAAACUGAACUGAUAAUAUAAUAAUUGAAAGUAACUGAGAGUCAAAUAUAAUCUGAAGAUAUGCUUACCUGCUGAUACUGACUCAACUCUCUCAAUAUAGUAAGAAAAUAGAUGUCCAGCCCUAUAAGGCUUGGUAUAUAUGUAACUCCUCUGCCGUAUUAGGCUCGCUCAUAGGCGCUCAACCAUACUAGGCUCUGUAUCUUGGCCAUGCUGGGCUCGCUCAUAGGUGCUCGGCCAUAUUAGGCUCGGUAUAUAACUUACCAUCUGAUUAGAGGUUGCCCAAUAGGGGCCUGCUGUGAUGACCUGCCAUGUCAUCAUGCCACAUAGGUGCCAUUUGGCAUAUAUUAAUGCCAUGUGGAAGCUUACAUAAGAAGAAUGCUAACAUUUGUGAGAAGAUUCUAGAGAGGUAUGGACAUUUCAUUAGGAAGAACCUAGAUCCUUAUUGAUUUUCUAGGAAAGUCCUUGGAAUCUUCUAAGCUUGUAGAGAAUUCUAGAAAAAGCCCUUAUCUUGUAAAUAUCAAGGACUUGUGUAAUAAUUAAUAUUUACACACUAGCCCCUAGGAGACUAGUAUAUAAAGGGGGUCAUUCAUUUGUAAUUCAUCAAGCAAACAAUUCAAGUUCUCUUUAAUACAAAGCUUCCUUUAACAAUUCUCUUGUGUUCUUUCUUCCAUUCUCUUAGAGAUCUUGAGUGUAGUAAGGCUGACUUGACAUAGCAAGAACGUGAGCAAGUUGUGCAAGAUCNNNNNNNNNNNNNNNNNNNNNNNNNNNNNNNNNNNNNNNNNNNNNNNNNNNNNNNNNNNNNNNNNNNNNNNNNNNNNNNNNNNNNNNNNNNNNNNNNNNNNNNNNNNNNNNNNNNNNNNNNNNNNNNNNNNNNNNNNNNNNNNNNNNNNNNNNNNNNNNNNNNNNNNNNNNNNNNNNCUGCUAGUAAGAGCGGUCGUAGAAAAAAGAGGAAUGCCACCAACAAGAUCCAAGAGGUUCCACAUGCGGUUAUGUCAAACGAAGGGCUUACAUCCCAAGAACCAUCUUCCACUGACGCAAGCGAGGAUGAAGUGGAGGUCCUUCCAGACGAUGUUUCGCUCGGUAAAGAGUGGAUGAUGGAGAUGAACGUGGGGAUGGACGCCGUGGAGAUCUUUGGCCAAUGCUUGGGGAAGGUGGAAGGAACCUUUAUUGUUCUUGAGGGGCACACUCUUGAAGAGAUUGAGAAUAUCCGAAAUGACUUGGAGGGAUGUACACAGACUGAGAUGGAACUAAGGCAAACCAUCACUGCCUUAGAGUGCAGACUCAUGGAGGCUGUGAGUACUAUCGAUGCUAUGAAGGCAAAGAUAGAGUCACUCGAGGAGCAUGUCAAUGCUGGCGUGACCGAGGUAGCCAGCAAUGUUGUGGUGACAAGGGAGGCCAAGAUCGAGGCUCCCAAACCCCCGGUGUUCAAAGGUGUUCGUGAUGCACAAGAAGUGGAAAACUUCCUUCGGCACUUGGAGAACUACUUCAGACACGGCAAAGUGAGGGACGACGAGGCCAAGAUCAACACUGCGGUAUUGUACCUCUUAGAGACUACCAUGCUAUGGUGGAGAAGGAAGAUGGCUGAUAUAGAUAAAGGUCUAUGUAAUAUUAGCACAUGGGAUCAGUUCAAAGCGGAGUUCAAGCGACAAUUCUUUCCAAACAAUGUCUUGUACGAGGCAAGGCGCAAGUUUAAGGAAUUGAAGCAAACAGGGAGCAUAAGUAAUUAUGUCAACUACCCAUAUGCUUCAAAUCCCCAACCUGACCAAUGAUGACUUGUUGUUCCACUUCAUGGACGGGUUGCAAAAUUAGGCUAAGCAGGAGUUGCAACGCCGACAAGUCACUGAAAUAGACCAAGCCAUAGUGGAGGCCGAAUCAUUGAUGGAGUUCAGGCAUGACAAACACAACAAAGGCAAUGGCAAGGAGUUAAAGGUUAACAAUGUCAAAGGUGGGGGAUACCGUGGCAAAGUCAAGGAGAUACAACAACAAUACUCCAAGACUCAAGACUUCAAAAGGUCGAGUGGUCAUCAGGGCUACGCCGAGAAGAAGGCACAGGUCGAGAAGAAGGGAUGCUAUAUACGCGGAGGGCCACAUGGCUUUAGGAAUUGUCCUGACCUCAAGAGCCUCAGUGCUAUAGUACGUGAGCGGAAGGAGCAGCCACAAGGAGAGUGUCCGGGAAUCGCACAGUUGGGUAUGAUCGGAUUAUGUGGUGCUGUCACGAAGCAAGCUAUCCAACCUACCUAGAAUGGCAAUCAGUACGUAGAUCUCACUAUCAAUAACAAGCCCACUCGGGCAAUGGUGUAUACUGGAGCAACUCAUAAUUUCGUGACUGAGGCUGCCGCAAAGAGACUGGAAUUGAAGCUUGCUCCAACCAACUCUCGCACCAAGACCGUGAAUGCCAAGAUACAGAAUGCUCGUGGGGUAGCUAAUGGAGUUGGUGUCAAAUUAGGAACUUGGAAAGGUAUGACAAACUUUACCGUAACCGUUAUGGAUAUUUUGACAUCAUAUUGGGGCAAGAGUUCUUUAGACAUUAUCAUACUUUAAUCGACUCCUACCUCCAACGUCUCUUGGUUAUAGAGCGAGAAGGAGCUUGCAUGGUACCUACAAUGACUAUGCCACACGGAUAGAGCCAAGCACAACUCUCAGCUAUGCAGGUUGUCAAGGGGAUCAAGAAGGGGGAGCCGACGUUCGUGGCAACCAUCACAAGUCUAGAAGAAAACAAGAGUUUUCAAGAGACACUGCCGCCUUGCAUAGAGAAGUUGCUUGAGGAAAACAAAGAUGUCAUGCCCGAGGAGUUGCCUAAGCACCUGCCAUAUAGGCGAGAGGUGGAUCACAAGAUUGAGUUGGAGCCAGGGGCUAAGCCACCCAUAUUUUCCCCAUAUCGUAUGGAAUCUCCCGAGCUAGAGGAGCUCAGGAAACAAUUGAAGGAGUUUCUAGAUGCUGGUCACAUUCGCCCAUCAAAAGCACCUUUUGGCGCACCAGUAUUGUUCCAGAAGAAGAAGGAUGGAUCGUUGCGUUUGUGCAUAGACUACCGAGCACUUAAUAAGGUCACUGUGAAGAAUAAGUACCCGAUCCCUCUCAUUGCUGACUUGUUCGAUAUACUUGGUCAAGCCAAGUACUUUACCUAGGUGGAUCUUUGAAAGGGCUACUACCAGGUUCGCAUUGCGGACGGGGAUGAGCCAAAGACAACAUGUGUGACGAGAUAUGGAGCCUUUGAGUGGUUGGUGAUGCCCUUCAGCUUAACCAAUGCACCGGCCACAUUUUGCACCCUUAUGAACAAGAUCUUCCAUCCCUACCUUGAUCAGUUCGUGGUAGUCUACCUAGACGACAUAGUCAUCUACAACAACACCUUGGAGGAGCACAUGGAGCACUUAAGGAAGGUUUUCCAAGUCUUGUGAGAGAACGAGCUAUACAUCAAGAGGGAGAAAUGUGAGUUCGCACAAUCAAAGGUGCACUUCUUGGGCCAUGUCAUUAGCAAUGGAGAGAUACGCAUGGACGAGGCUAAGGUACGUGUUAUCCAGGAGUGGGAGGCACCUAUAAAGGUAACUGAGUUGAGAUCCUUCCUUGGCCUUAUUAACUACUAUCGUCGGUUCAUCGGUGGAUACUCAGCAAAGAUCACACCAUUGACUGAGUUGUUAAAGAAGAACAAUCCAUGGGUUUGGAUAGAGCAUUGUCAAAAGGCAUUUGAAUGCCUUAAGACAGCUGUAAUAGAGGAGCCAGUCUUGGAAUUACCUGACUUUGACAAGACAUUUGAGGUGCACACAGAUGCCUCAGACUUCGCCAUUAGGGGUGUCCUAAUGCAGGAUAAGCAUCCCAUAGCAUUUGAGAGCCGCAAGUUAAAUAAGAUGGAGCGGCGUUACACGGUACAAGAGAAGGAAAUGACUGCCAUUGUGAAUUGCCUUUGUACAUGGAGACAUUAUCUGCUCGGGUAGAGGUUCGUGGUCAAGACUGAUAAUGUGGCUACUAGCUACUUUCGGACACAAAAGAAUCUCACACCAAAGCAGGCUAGGUGGCAUGAUUUCUUGGCCGAGUUUGAUUAUGCGUUGGAGUAUAAGUCGGGAAAAGGUAAUGUUGUAGCCUAUGCCUUGAGCUAGAAAGCCGAGCUUUCUGCAAUUACUUCAGUGAGAUGGGACAUUAGGGAGGCUAUAAAAGAAGGCAUGCAGCAUGAUCUAGCAGCCAAACAGCUUAUCGAGUUAGCCAACAAAGGCAAGAUGAGACGGUUUUGGAUAGAAGACGGCCUAUUACUUACCACAGGUCAGCGGGUCUACGUGCCUAAAUUUGGAGACAUUAGACGACGGAUCAUAAGGGAGAGUCAUGACACAAUAUGGGCUGGUCAUCCAGGUCAACGUCGCACUAGGGCCCUAGUUGAAUCAGUCUACUAUUGGCCACACAUGCGUGAUGACAUAGAGUGCUAUGUGCAGACUUGUCUUGUUUGUCAACAGGACAAGGUUGAACAAUAACAACCCGGAGGACUUUUGGAUCCACUACCAGUUGCAGAGCGUCCAUGGGAGAGCAUAACUAUGGACUUUAUUACUUGCAUACCGAAGUCCGACAGUUAUGGUACUAUUAUGGUGGUCUUGGAUAGAUUUUCCAAAUAUGCCACCUUCAUGCCCGCCUCACUAGGUUGCACAACCAAGGAAGCCGCCAAGCUGUUCUUUAAGAACGUAGUGAAGUAUUGGGGCUUACCAAGGCAUAUAAUCAGUGAUCGAGACCCCCGCUCUACUGGAAACUUUUGGAGAGAGUUGUUUGACAUACUUGGUACGGAGCUGCACUUUUCUACUAGUUUCCACCCACAGACGGAUGGACAAACGGAACGAGUCAAUGCCUUACUAGAAUGCUACUUGAGGCAUUAUGUAAGCGCACAACAGAAAGAUUGGGUAAAGCUCCUAGACAUUGCCCAAUUCUCUUAUAACUUGCAGUGGAGUGAGUCCACUGGGCGGACACCAUUUGAGCUAGCCACAUGCCAACAACCACAAACUCUACAUUCAUUACCAACCACAUUCGAGGGAAAGAGUUUGGGGGCUUAUCAUAUGGCCAAAGGAUGGGAGGAGCAGCUCGACACUGCUAAGUCCUACUUGGAUAAGGCAGCUAAGAAGAUGAAGAAGUUUACGAACUGUAAGCGGCAUCCCACAUACUAUAGAGUUGGGAACAUGGUCAUGGUAAAGUUUAACCCAAGACAGUUCAAGACACUACGGGGCAUGCAUCAGAAUCUGAUUCGUAAGUAUGAGGGGCCAUUUAAGAUCGUCGCCAAGGUAGGCAAGAUCUCAUACAAGCUUGACAUGCCAUCGUAUCUCAAGAUCUACCCUGUCUUCCAUGCUAGCAUGCUUAAGCCAUAUCAUGAAGAUAAGGAUGAUCCGAGUAGGAGCCAAUCAAGUCGAGCGCCAAUGACUAUCACCGCCUCACAUGAUCGGGAGAUUGAGGCUAUCAUAAAUUACCAAGCCAGGUGAAAACAAGGGCAAAAAGCCACCGAUAUGUUCCUCGUCCAUUGGAAUGGGCAAUCACCGGAGGAGGUCAUGUGGGAACGAUAUGAAAACUUGCGGCAAUUCAAAGAUAAGAUCCGAGAGUUUAUGCAGCAGCAUUGCGCCGCGGUCGUCGCAAUAUUGGGCGGGGGAGAGUGUGAUGACCCGCCAUGUCAUCAUACCACAUAGGUGCCACUUGGCAUAUAUUAAUGUCAUGUGUAAGCUUACAUAAGAAGAAGGCUAGCAUUUGUGAGAAGAUUCUAGAGAGGUAUGGACAUUUCCUUAGAAAGAACCUAGAUCCUUAUGGAUUUGCUAGGAAAGUCCUUGGAAUCUUCUAGGCUAGUAGAGAAUUAUAGAAAAAGCUCUUAUCUUGCAAAUAUCAAGGACUUGUGUAAUAAUUAAUAUUUACACACUAGCCCCAAGGAGACUAGUAUAUAAAGGGGGUCAUUCAUUUGUAAUUAAUCAAGCAAACAAUUCAAGUUUUCUCUAAUACUAAGCUUCCUUUAACAAUUCUCCUGUGUCCUUUCUUCCAUUCUCUUAGAGAUCUUGAGUGUAGUAAGGCUGACUUGACAUAGCAAGAACAUGAGCAAGUUUUGCAAGAUCAUGAGUGAGUUGUCAAGUGUUGCACGUGUACUCAGUUAACAACUAAGGACGUGACACUUCCCACCGAUUAUAGCUCGAUGGUGGUGAAAAUAUUGUAGUACUAGCCAAUAGGGGCUUGCUCACCGAUUAUAGCUCGAUGGUGGUGAAAAUACUGUAAUACUGUAUAUAUAUAGACUUUCUGCUCUCUUGGAUGACAUAAGACAAAACUAAGCUGAAUAUAAAGUCCCGAUAAGGGAGAAUAUUGUAACUUAUGAGAUUAGGAUAGUGUAUAUAAAUUCAGGAGUAUGAACUUCUCUUUAUGUCUCGUUGUCAAACACAUGUAGUUACUGGAUCAUGCCAAAUGAAAGAAAGGUUUAGCCUUAACAUACCUUAUCACAAUCUGUCCAAUAACUAGGUUAAACUUGUCUCGUUGCACUUUAAUCUACAACAAUGAUAACAAUACUAUCAUCAAGUUAUGGAAUGUACAACUAUCGCACAACAAACGACAAGGUUAUUUUAUAAUAAAACGGGCAGCAUCUCCCAUAAAAUCUCUACUUCCUCCCAAUUCGACAUAACACCACCACCAACAAGAGCACAAUAAUAACAACAUAUAUACAUCAUUUUCUAACCUUAUAUCCAUAACAAAAUACCACAAAAUAGCCCAACAUACCCCUAUCACUUCAUACACAAAACGACAACCAUAAUAGUGUCAAACAAUCCAAAAUAUUAUGACGAACAACUGGCAAACCACCCUGUCAUUAUGUAGUGUUUCUAUACAACCUUUCUCCUCCCAUACUCCAUAUAAACAGUAGCAAAAUAGACAACUCAACAGCAAUACGGAACAGCCCACAAAACAGUCCCACAAGUUCAACAACUCAAAAUUGAUUAUUCAGUUUACUAAAACACGUUUCGCCUUGUCUUUUCUUUCAAAUUGAGCACCAUAACAAAUAGUACAUAAUUAAGACUCUUAUACAAUAAACCAACCAGGAAUUCAACUUAAAAAUAAGUCUACAACCAGCAAACAGUGAUGCAACAACAAACAACAUACUACUCUUUCGAAACUCGCUAGGUCUAGUCUUUAUGAUCGAGUUAUAACUCGUACAAGCAUAAAUAAUGGAAGGAGAAACAUAUAUUUACCUUGGAUUGAGUAUAACCCACAAACCCUAGCUCUUCUUCAUACAAAAUCAGUCCUCCAAUGCAGCUACAAGAAGGAGAAAGAGAAACUAACAAGCUGUUCGGUGUUUUCGGCACUAGAAUCAGAUCGUAACACCCAAAAUAACCUAGGAUUUGUUUGGGAUUUUUGGGGAGGAGUUACAGGGGUUCAAUUUGGUUUUCUUGGUCUGAAAGAUGGGUGAAAGAAAUUAGUUUAAUAUCCCUUAAAAGUGCCCUCUUGGCCGAGUUUGGAGCUUUUAAUUGAGGCCUCUCCUUUUGGCAAGUAGGUGAUGCACCAACUUGUCACCUACUAUCUGCGAAGUCUCGCGAAAAUGUGAAUAUCUCUCUACUCCAAUAUUGUAUCAAUGAACGGUUUAAUAUAUUGGAAACUAGACUCGUAGAUCUUCAGUUUGGUAGGUAGAUCAUUCCAUAAGUUCAAGUACAUUGGGAGAAAUGCUCAGCUACAUUUGACCUAAUGUUUACCAUAUUUAUGAAUGUAACUUGUGAUGACCUUUUCCAACUUUUGUUUCACAACUCGCUUGACUUCAAAACAUGACACAUGACUAUCAUACGACUAAAAUAACUCAUACCAUAAUCUCCUUAUAAGGUUAAGCACCCUAGUCUCACCCCAAAAGUACAUGUUAUAACAUUCCCAACUUGUCGUCUUUUGACGAAAUUUAUUUUCUUCAAUUUAUUUAGCUUCGAAGCCUUCAAACCCUCUUAGUACUUGGUAUUCAUGGUCUUAAAUAUUUGGAACCUUCAUUGUAAAAUGAUUAACUUACCUUACGUACUUUUAAAGUUGAUCUCAUUUCUGAGCUUACAUCAAUUGACUUACGAAUACUCUAACGUAUGAAAACAUGGGGUGUAACAUCAUUCCCCCAUCUAGAACAUUCGUCCUCGAAUGUUGAUUAAUGUUCCUAUUAGUCUCAUAACCCAUAGCUCUUACGAAUAUUUUAGUACUGUCCUUGCCAUAUAGGAAACUGUUUUAUGUAUAAAUUCGAAGGCUAGGGCAUUCCCCCCUUUACGUCUCUUUCUCUCACCAUGACUUGUUGUCGGAAUUCUUUAAAUAUCGUAGCUGUUGCGACCUUCUAUCAUGCAACAUGUAUGUACGCAUGUAUGACUCUUAUCUCCUUUUUCCUCCGGCUUUUAGCCAAUCUCUAGGCCUCACUUUGUGAAUAUAUACAAAACUAUGGUAAGUUGUCCCUCUAGGCAUCUAUAGGUAUACUAAAGUCCUUUGUUUGGUACUUUGUCGAACUUAAGACUAUUGUUAUAUCUUAUUUCUUAGCCUUGUAUAUCUAUCCUUAUGGCUUUACUACAUCUAGGUAGGCUAUACUAUACCAUUGCACUUACUUCGGUUUAUUAUUACCGAGAUUUUCUACCCAACUCUAGAUUACUCUCUCGCUGCUUAUCCUAUAUGUAUAAAUCUAUGUCCUUUAGUGCUUCCUUAUUACUAUUCAUCUUAAGAAUAACAAACAAAUCUCAUCUCGUACUUUGGAACUUUUACCCAUCUAUUGUUGAUUCACCUUACGUUGAUAUAUAAUCUACCACUGAUAAUUUGAAACCUCUUACUUAAUACAUUGUCGUAAGGGCCCACGUUGCAUCGGGGAAUAGCUGAAGUUAUUUGCCUGAUCAACCUAGGGACGAUACAAUAUUUCAUUAAUUGUAUUUCAUAGCAUCCCAACGUGAUUCACCUUAUGGGGGUAUUUUAAUCCUAUACAAUUCAUGAAAUCCCUUUUCUUUGAAUCAUUACCCAAUCAAAGGCCUUAACGUUAUCCUCUUAACUAUCACAAUUACACCCUUAUUUACUAUCAGGGAAACAUUUCAUCUCUUCAAAUCACUCAUAGUCUUAGACUUCUCUGAGCUUAUUCAAACUAUACUGAGCUUUCUAUAACUUACGAAAUUUAUCAACCCUCUUGUUUUGAUGAGCUUAAUCAUGGGGCCUUACCUAUUAUCAUCACCUUCUUACCCACCUUUUCUUAUCCUUACUCUUGUCUACCUAAAACCUUGUCAUUAUACCAUACUCUAGCUUGCGACCGACACAUAUCUAUCUAUACUACUCCCAACCUUCUUUUAACUUGCUAGCCCCAUAAAUUUUCUUAUGUUUUCUAGAAGCUCAAGCGAGACAUCACGUUGUCUCUAACUCUUCUUUACUCUCUUAACUAGACAUCUCGAUACCUAAAAACCACAUGCUGGAAAAUAUGCCACUGACGACACCACUGUCGUUUCUUGAUACAGAAUUGUGACACUUCCAGCCCUCUAUCUGAGAUCUGGAUUAUUUGUAACCUUCUGUACUUAGGCAUAUCGUACCUUCUUCACAUGUACUUUACUUACCCUUAAAUCUUGCAUCGUACCUUCUAUCCCUUUCAUAACCUCCCUUCCACAUAGGUGGAAUUCACAUCCACACCUUAAAGCUCUACUAUAAUACUUACACAUCAUGUGUAUACACAAUCUGGCGAAAGCUUCAUACUGACUUCUUAUGAGAUUGGUACUAUUCUAACUAGAUUUAUCAUAGAGCCAUUAUAGAAUAUGGUCGUUGUACUAUCUCUUUUGUACCUCUGAUAUUUAGAGUGAUUCUACAAUAUUCUGAAUCACGAUUUCUAUACUCAUCGGGGUCUAGUAAUCAGACUCUUAAUUCACUUAGCUGAUGUAACUCUUGAGUUUCCUCUUCUAUUUCAGCCUUCAUGUAGGCUUCCUUUAUCUUCCGAUCUGCAGCUCAGGAUACUAGUUAUUACUUUAGCCCCUCGUGGAAGCUAUGGAACAUCCAUGAUAUAACCUUUUAGCAAUUCAAGCUUUUGUCUGUGACGAUGACUCAAUUUUUUCUUCUAACUUAUGAUGGAGUCUCCUAAAGCUGUAUCAUUGUCAACAUAUAUGCUGCAUGGAUAACACUCCAAAAUCUUAUGUCUGUUCAUAACGUAACUAACUCUGGGUCAUAGAUCGAAUAAUUCCAUUCGUGCCUUCUCAACUUUCAUUAAAAGUAAGCAAUUAACUUUCUUGGUCGUUCUGCCACUUGUUGCAUGAAUAAAUGGCUUAUCUUAGUGCCCAUAUAUACUGGAAUUUUGUGAAACUCAUAUUUUCUCGAAUAUUACUCUGGAUUUCACUUCCCGUUCCUUAGUUAUGACAGGUGUCACUUUGUUAUGGAGAUCAUACAAUGUCGUAGUGAGACUGUUGUUCCAAGAUCAUUUCUUCUUUAGGUCACUAUGCUUAUGUUGAUGCCUUCUUCCUUAUUUCCUGAGCUAGUCUUUCAUUGUAUCACUUAGGGAAGACCCUCUGACUCUUGUAAAGCUGCGAGCUUAUUACAUUGUAUACCCGACAGAAUUUUUGAUGUCCUUACUCGCCUAUAAUUAUCCUUAGUCACUUACCUUCGUGCCCUUGUGCUCGUCGGGUUACUUCUGAACCCAAAUUUUGAUAGUCUCCCUAGUGGCACUCUUUUUUUUACGCAACACUUAUGUUGUACCUUCUACUACCCCAACUCUUAUCUGAAAAUUUCUCGAGGAUUACGAUGUCGUGUUUGAGAGACUGAAUUUUCUAUGUUGGGUUUCACUACAUUUAUCUUGCAUGGUCUACUGAUUUAUCUGAGAUCUCUUGUAUAUCUAUAGCUAAGCUCUUUCUGGAUCAACUACUAACUACUCGCCAGUCCAUGCUCAUAUUUAUAUUCUGUGUAACCUCUCUUGGGUUAUGUCCUUUGCCUUAACUUACCUCUCGUACUGGCUUCUUAUAUAUCAAGUGCCCAUUCACACUUAUUUAUCAAUAACAUCCUGGUCGGGAACCCUUACUGCCUCUCCCCGGUAUCAUGCUUGCAUAGUGUUCUAGAGUCGUAGUAUAUAUGUAUGAUCUGAAUAAAUUCAAUACCACUCCUUUCGAUUUUUUACCGCAUUACUUCUUUACUAUUCCGUAGCUACCUGAACCACUUAACUCCAAUGUAAUACCAUAUCACCCCAUCUCCCCCCCCCCUUUAGGGGAGUAAUAACAUUUAAUGCUAUGAAGAUUCACCAACAAUUAUUUUACAUUUUCUUCUUCGACAUCUUUUCACAUCUUCAUUGACUCAUACUUGCCUUGUGGUAAUCCUUCUGUACCAAGGAUAACUGAAUUCCUUACGCAUAGUGUAACUGGCACACUUAGUCCCUUAAGCUUAACUUUGCUCACAGUGCUUGCUUUAGGGAAACGUCUUCCUAAAUGACCUUUAAAGGUUAUUCUUUUGUUGUCCAUUCUAUUAUUGCCGGAAUGCAAUCUCUGAAAAUUAUCACGAUGCUGACUAUUAUCAAAUCCUUCGGUCCCUAACUCAUGUUCAGUUUUAUCUUGUUUACUAGCCUAUAAUAACUUCUAUUACUCAGAAGGUCUAACUUAGCCUUCUAGUAAUCAUGUUGGAGUCACAAAUCAUUUCUUAAAAUAAGGAUACAACUUUGUGGCAUAUACUCUUUUAUUGUCUCAAUGCUUGUCAUCUCUUGUAUUUUCCUUCAUUUGACUAUAGACUCUGUCAUCUUGUCAUAUUCUGAUUUACUGUUAUCACUCAUUUAUCAUACCUUACUCAUAAUGCUUCAUUUACUCUCUUUUUAUUCUCCUGCUAAUAUUUUUGUCUAUCACAUUAUUCUGAAAACCUCAACAAAACAUUGUUUCACUUUUAGCUCCCCUGGCUUAAUCUACCAUUUUGGGUUACUCUAACCCAAGUUGGAUCCUGAUAUUCCAUCCUCAUCUUAAACUAUAUAUGUUAGCUCCCAUAGGGCAUAACUGAGAUGGGUAUGGCCAAUUGUACAUACCUCUAUUACGUUUGAAAGUUGAUUCAGAGUACUUGUAUUUCUCUACCUAAAUUGUAAAUAUUGAUAAACUCCACUAACUGGGCAUCUCGUUCCCUCCUUCACCUUGCUUCAAUUACAUGUUGAAACUUAAACGUUUACCUUAUGAUGCUCCCAUGCUAUUCAGGGGGUGUAUUUCAUAUUCCCAUCUUAGGAUCUUAAGCUGGAAAUUUGCACAUUUGGUAUGUAUGAUCUGAUAGGGCCUCAAACAGGGCCACGUCAUCAAGAACUCUCUUCUAUCAGUGCCCUUACUUGUUUCUAUAUUAGCCCUCUAGCUAGUCGUAAUUUUUUCUAAUUGAAAGCAUCUCUAUAUCAUUAGCAAACAUAAGUCUUGGCUCUAACUCUUAUAACUCAGCUCUAUCGCACGAUUUGGAUUUGAAAGAAGGGUAACAAACUCCUAAAUGCCUUGUAGCUUCCUAUUUAUAUAAUGUGGUGCACAACACAUCUAUAAACAAGGCUCUACUAGACAUGGCUUGUAGACUCCCCGAAUCUGACGAGGCAUGGCCGACACUUGGUGCCAUACUUGGCCUGAGUGUACCACUCUAUAACUAUAAACUCUAGAGGGGUAACCCUUAACUUAGGUCGAUGAGGCCAUAUUCUGAAUCGUNNNNNNNNNNNNNNNNNNNNNNNNNNNNNNNNNNNNNNNNNNNNNNNNNNNNNNNNNNNNNNNNNNNNNNNNNNNNNNNNNNNNNNNNNNNNNNNNNNNNNNNNNNNNNNNNNNNNNNNNNNNNNNNNNNNNNNNNNNNNNNNNNNNNNNNNNNNNNNNNNNNNNNNNNNNNNNNNNNNNNNNNNNNNNNNNNNNNNNNNNNNNNNNNNNNNNNNNNNNNNNNNNNNNNNNNNNNNNNNNNNNNNNNNNNNNNNNNNNNNNNNNNNNNNNNNNNNNNNNNNNNNNNNNNNNNNNNNNNNNNNNNNNNNNNNNNNNNNNNNNNNNNNNNNNNNNNNNNNNNNNNNNNNNNNNNNNNNNNNNNNNNNNNNNNNNNNNNNNNNNNNNNNNNNNNNNNNNNNNNNNNNNNNNNNNNNNNNNNNNNNNNNNNNNNNNNNNNNNNNNNNNNNNNNNNNNNNNNNNNNNNNNNNNNNNNNNNNNNNNNNNNNNNNNNNNNNNNNNNNNNNNNNNNNNNNNNNNNNNNNNNNNNNNNNNNNNNNNNNNNNNNNNNNNNNNNNNNNNNNNNNNNNNNNNNNNNNNNNNNNNNNNNNNNNNNNNNNNNNNNNNNNNNNNNGCGUCCUAAGCAAAAGGGACGUCAGUACAAAAUAAUGUACCGAGUAUGUAAGGCAACAGAAUAACUGAAAGCUGAAACUGAACUGAUAAUAUAAUAACUGAAAGUAACUGAGUGUCAAAGAUAAUCUGAAGAUAUGCUUACUUUCUGAUACUGACUCAACUCUCUCAAUAUAGUAAGUAAAAUAGUUGUCCGGCCCUAUAAGGCUCGGUAUAUAUAUAACUGCUCUGCCGUAGUAGGCUUACUCAUAGGCGCUCGGCCAUACUAGGCUCUGUAUCUCGGCCAUGCUGGGCUCUCUCAUAGGCUCUCGGCCAUAGUAGGCUCGGUAUAUAACUUACCAUCUUAUCUGAGGUUACCCAAUAGGGGCCUGCCCACCGAUUAUAGCUCGAUAGUGGUUAAAAUACUGUAGUACUGCCCAAAAAGGUCAUGCCCACCGAUUAUAGCUCGUUGGUGGUGAAAAUACUGUAAUACUGUAUAUAUAUAGACUCUCUACUCUCUUGGAUGACAUAAGACAAAACUAAACUAAAUAUAAAGUUUCGAUAAGGGAGAAUAUUGUAACUUACGAGACUGGGAUAGUGUAUAUAAAUUCGGGAGUAUGAGCUUCUCUUUAUGUCUCAUUGUCAAACACAUGUAGCUACUGGAUCAUGCCAAAUGAAAGAAAGGUUUAGCCUUAACAUACCUUAUCACAAUCUGUUUAAUAACCACAUUAAAGUCGUCUCAUUGCACUUUAAUCUACAACAAUGAUAACAAUACUAUCAUCAAGUUAUGGAAGGUACAACUAUCGCACAACGAACGAUAAGCUUAUUUUAUAAUAAAAUGGGCAGCAUCUCCCCUAUAAUCUCUACUUCCUCCCAAUUCGACAUAACACCGCCAACAACAAGAGCACAAUAAUCGAAACAUAUAUACAUCAUUUUCCAACCUUAUAUCCAUAACAAAAUACCACAAAACAACCCAACAUACCCCGAUCACUUCAUACACAAAACAACAAUCAUAAUAGUGUCAAACAAUCCAACAUGUUAUGACGAACGACCAGCAAACCACCCUGUUAUUAUGUGGUGUUUCUCUACAACCUUUCCCCUCCCAAACUUCAUAUAAAUAGUAGCAAAAGUGACAACCCAACAGCAACACGAAAGCCCACAAAACAGUCCCACAAGUUCAGCAACUCAAAAUUGAUUAUUCAGUUUACUAAAACACGUUUCGCAUUGUCUUUUCUUUCAAAUUGAGCACCACACCAAAUAGUACAUAAUUAAGACUCUUAUCCAAUAAACAAGGAAGGAAUUCAACUUAAAAUAAGUCUACAAACAGCAAACAGUGAUGCAACAACAAACAACAUACUAAUAUUUCGAAACUUGCUAGGUCUAGUCUUUAUGAUCGAGUUUUAACUCGUACAAGAAUAGAUAAUGGAAGGAGAAACAUAUAUUUACCUUGGACUGAGUAGAACCCACAAACACUAACUCUUCUUCAUCGAAAAUUAGUCCCCUAACACAGCUACAAGAAGGAGAAAGAGAAACUAAUAAGUUGUCCGGUGUUUUCAGCACUAGAAUCACAUCGAAACACCCGAAAUAACCUAGGGUUUGUGUGGGAUUUUUGGGGAGGAGUUGCAGGGGUUCAAUUUGGUUUUCUUGGUCUGAAAGAUAGGUGAAAUAAAUGAGUUUAAUAUCCCUUAAAAGUACCCUCUUGUCCGACUUUGGAGCUUUUAAUUGAGGUCUCUCCUUUUGGCAAGUAGGUGAUGCACCUACUUGUCACCUACUGUCUGCGCAGUCUCGUAAAAAUAUGAAUAUCUCUCUACUCCAAUAUUUUAUCAAUGAACGGUUUAAUUCAUUGUAAACUAGACUCGUAGAUCUUCAAUUUUGUAGGUAGAUCAUCCCGUAAUUCCAAGUACAUUGGGAUAAAUGCUCAGUUACAUUUGACCUAAUUUUUAUCAUAUUUAUGAAUGUAACUUGUGAUGACCUUUUCCAACUUUUGUUUCACAACUCGCUUGACUUCAAAACAUGAUACAUGACUAUAAGACAACUACAAUAACUCAUAAUAUAAUCUCCUUAUAAGGUUAAGCACUAUAGUCUCACCCCAAAAGUACAUGUUAUAACAUUCCCAACUUGUCGACUUUUGACGAAAUUUAUUUUCUUCAAUUCAUUUAGGUUCGAAGCCUUAAAACCCUCUUAGUACUUGGUAUUCAUGAUCUUAAAUAUUUGUAACCUCCAUUGUAAAAUGAUUAACUUACCUUACAUACUUUCAAAGUUGAUCUCAUUUCUGAGCUUACAUCAAUUAACUUACGAAUACUCUAACGUACGAAAAUAUAGGGUGUAGCACGUACAAAGGUAAACAGGACAGAUAACUGCUGUAGGCCGAUUCAUCUCGAGGUCUUCGGAUCAAAGUCAUAUGUUCUUCUCACUGCUAAAAAAGAAGAACAAUUUCAUUUGAACCCCAAAAUGCCAAUAGGAAUUGGAAGAAUUAAAGCGGUAUCUUUCGAGUCCACCAUUGCAUCAUACUGCGAAAGCAGACGAACAACUCUACUUAUAUUUGGCAGUUUCGGAGGUCACGAUAAUUGGUGUUCUAGUUUGAGAAGAGCAUGGUACACAAUUUCUUAUUUACUACAAUAGCUUAAAUUUAGUUGAAGCAGAGACCCAGUACCCACACUUAGAAAAAUUAGCGCUUGCUCUAAUAAGCGCAUCUAGGAAAUUAAAACCGUAUUUUCAAUGUCACCCAAUUUGUAUUGUAACCACUUAUCCCCUUCGAAACAUUUUGCACAAGCCCAAACUCUCAGUCCUACUAGCCAAAUGAGUCAUGAAAAUUAGUAGGUAAAAUAAUGAGUAUCAACCCCGAACAACCAUCAAGUCUCAAAUCUUAGUAGACUUCAUGGCCGACAUUACACCAGCACUCGUACCCAAGGUCGAAAAGGAACUAUUGCUAAAAUCAGGUACAUCCUCGAGGGUGUGGACCCUUUUCACAAAUGGUGCUUCGAAUGUGAAGGGUCCCGGGCUAGACAUCGUUCUGAAGCCACCCCCAGGCAAUAUAAUUAGACAAUCUAUCAAAACCCCUAAGUUGACUAACAAUGAGGCCGUGUAUGAGGCCAUUAUUGCAGGUCUCAAGCUUGCUAAAAGUUUGGGAGUAGAGGUCAUCGAGGCCAAGUAUGAUUCCCAACUCGUGGUUAACCAAGUCAACAAAACCUUCGAGGUUGAGAAGAUUGAAUGCAGAGGUACUUGGACAAAUUGCAGGUAACCUUACAUCGGUUCUAAGAAUGGACCCUACAGCAUGUACCUCGAGAGCAAAACGGUGAGGCCAAUGCCUUUGCAAAUUUGGGGCCAUCAAUCGAAGAUAAUGAAAUUAGCUCGGGGACUAUCGUACAACUUUCAAAGUCGGUAGUCGAAGAAGGCCACGCCGAAAUAAAAUCCACAAGCCUAACUUGGGUGGAGGAACAAAUAUGUGGAUUAUCUAAGGAAUGGAAAACUUUCGCUGGACCCUAAGGAAUUGAGGACUCUGCGAACGAAAGUUGCACGAUUCACAUAUGCCGAAGAUGGAACAUUGUACAGAAGGAUGUGUCACACCUCCUGUUUCUACUACCGGAAGGGGUAUAAGGGAGUUUUUCCAAUUUAAGUGACAAUCAAAAUGAGAUUUAUUAUUUAAAAAUCAGAGUCGCUACUUGUGAUAAUUUAUGGUGUCCCAAGUCACUGGUUUAAAAUCCCGAAACGAGGAAGUUGACUCAUAAUUAUGGUCUGCGAACACAGAAAUCCGGGUAAGGAAUUGUAUUAACCUGGGAGAAGGUGUUAGGCAUUCUCGGGUUCUGUGGUUUUAGCACGGUCGCUUUGAUCAUACUUGACUUAAUCAAAUUAUCUAAUUACUCAUUUUAGAACCUAUGUGCAUUUGCCUUUUUAAUUAGGAAAUUAUCUUGAAACGGGUCACGCGCAUGCGUACCCCCUUUGUUUGGUGCGCCAAAAAUCAUGUCACGUGAACGUGUCCAUAAUUAAUAACGCAUUGUUAUUAUUAAGAAAGUUUGGUCGAAGUUGCGCGAACGCAUACUCCGAUUUUAUUUUUAAAAUCGUAAUUAUGUCACGUGAACGUGUCCACAACCAUGACGAUACAUUAAACGUGCCUAAAGCGAACUACGAAUAUUCAUUUUUCAAAUAUCUAAGUUAUAGUAUUAAUGUGAGGGCCAUAGGUGAUUUGAUUAUGGAUGGCACACCCCAAUCUAGUUUUAAAGAAUUAUACUUAACUAGGCCUAAGUAUGUUCUUAUUUACAAAUGGUUUGAACUUAAUACAUAACUAUUAGUGGUAAAAAAAGGGUUUGAGGUACAUGUUUUGGGCCUUUAAUUUAUUUGGGGAGAAUUGGACCAACAACGGGCCUAUUUGAUCAAGAAAAGUGUGGUGUUGAGGCUGCCUGGGCUCGAAGCUGAGCCCAAAAGGCAUGGAUCUUCGAAAACCUCAACAGGCCCAAAAAUGAUCAAGGCUAUUUAUUUGGGUUGAUGUCCAGCCCAACAAUUCCACAUUGAAAAUCCUUUUCUUAUUAAACUAACAUAAAAUUUUGAAAAAGAAAACAACCUAAGGCUGAAGAUUAUUGGGCUCCAAAUUGAGCCCAAAGCAAAAAAAAGACCAAAUCUGGUCACGUCCAAGCCUCCUGAUAAAUGGGCCGACUUAUGAGGCCAAGAAUCCAGCCCAUAUUCAAAACUAAACAAAAAACUUUAAACAUGCCAAGGCUUUUCUUUGAUAUUCAAGAUGCUCUAAACAUACAAAUCACAAAAAUGAUAUUCAAGUCUGAAAAUUAAUAUGCUGGAUCAACUACACUAUCUACAUGACAUUCAAAGCAUGGAUAUUAGCUCGAUAAGUUAAAAACAAAUGCCCUAAAUCAAACAUGAUGUUCAAGGGAAUAAACUCCAACUAACUAUGAUUUUCAGAAACCAAAACAAACUAGAAUUGAUCCAAGCUUACCAACAUGGCUCACACUUAAUUGAGAACUAUCAAACAAUUACAAAAUUGCUCUCAAAAUCAAACAGAUCUUAGCAGUGACCAUACAAACUAUUAUGGUUGCCUACUGCUUCAAAAUUGUCCAAAAUAAUACAAGGAAUGGACUGAACUAAGUUGACUAUUCAUGUGAAAUCAUAUAAAUUGCAAAAAAAAAAACAGUAUGUUAAACGACACAAACUAUGAACAGCAAACAUAUGAAGCCACAACUUUAACACCUUGAACAUUGAGAUUUCAUAUUACUAGCUCGAACACAAUGCAUUCUUUACAGCUUUGUUUGCAUUUCAGAAAGUUCAUAGAAGUACCUGAAGACAAAGAAUAAAGCAAAAAUAGGGUGAGGAUUUCAGCAAUAGCAGAGGUAUGUGCAAAGCAGCAAUCAACGGCCUUCAACCCCUUUAAACCAUCUUUAAACCCAGAAAACCAGAGAUCUCAUGAAAGCUUUUCAAAGUUCUUACAAAAAAUAAUUCGAGCUAAUUUUUCUCAAAGUAAUGCAGAAACCUUUUGUGUAUUUUCUAGGGUCUGAUCUAUGAUUUUUAGUGUGAAGGAAAUGGUCUAUAUAUAGCCCUUAAGAGUGCCAUGUGCUGCUGAAACAGAAUGAGAAUUAUUCCCUCAAACAACAUCUUUUCUAACAGAAAUGGGACAACUGUCAACCUCUAAUUAGUUUCAGCAUUUUGUGCUGGCCAAAUAGGGCCAGCUGCCCCUAUUCUAGAACAUUCCCGCAUGAAUUUUACCCAAUUUCAGAAUUAUCUACCCUCUUUUAUGACCCCCUUAAGUUUUCUUUCGUUCAAUUAGGUCCCUAUAAGCAGGGGUGGAUCCAGGGUGUAAUAUACGGGUUCCAGGGAACCCAGUAACUUUUGCGUAGACCUGUAUUUUUGUUUAAAAAAUUAUUAAAUAUCUAUUUGUGAACCCAGUUAUUAUUGUAUAUUAAUUUAAAAUUGUGAUAGGAACCCAUAAACUUAAAAUUCUGGAUCCGCCUUUGCCUAUAAGUUGCUACUGAUUUUCAAAUCAGGCUAAACACAAAUGGACAUGCUAAUAUAAAUCAAACAACAAAACUUGACAAUGAUUGAACUUUAAAUUUCUGGACACUUAAAAACCUAAAAUUAGCUAAUUUCAUAAUGAACUUCUGAUUUAAACACACAGAAACCUAAUUCUACAAUAAAAUGUUAUACCAAUCAAAUCGAAUCUAAAAAAGAUGAACAAUGAAGCCUGAAUUAGCAUGAGGCAUUCGAAUCAAUACUGACAACAAUAAUCACAAUAGAACAAGAAAACAAGAGCAUGCAACUAAACACAAAACGAAAAACAAAAGAACAAGAAAACAAAAGCAGGAAAAGGAAAAACAAUUUAAGGAUCCUAAAAUUUAAUUCAUGUUACUGAUUAAUUAACCAAAAAACAAAAAGGAAAAUAGAGAUGCCUAAACAAAAACCUAAUCAACAUAUGUUUUUCAUUUUUUUGUUUUCAACCAGUGUGGACCAAACCAUAAGUAAAAAAAGAAAUAGGACAAGAAAAAUAAGGGGAAAGUAAUACCUAAUGAGAUUCAAGAAGGAAGAAACUGACCCUGGACUUGCACAAGGCUGGCUAGUCUCUGAUUGUGCUUCGAGCUGAGUCCAAAAUUACAUUAAGCAAUCAUUCUUGCUAGGAACGAUUAGUUAAUGUAAAUUUUGGGCUCAACUCGUACCUUGAAACUCGAGGAACCAGAAGGAAAUAUGGCAAAAUGAGUAAGCUAGGUUUUCGAAUUUCCAGAUUUGGAAUUAACGGAAUUGGGUGGGUCUUUUGGGGGAAAGGUUAGUAGAUUGGUAUAGAGGGGAGGCUAAGGAGUGUAUAUGGUGAAUUUGGGUUAGUUUAGACGAACUAAGGUUUAGAGUCUAAUUUUUAGAUCUAAGAUUUAAGGAUUUGGGUGAGGACUUUGGGGAAGAAGUUUGUGGAUUUGGAAAGGGGAGGGGAAGGAGAUUAUGAGGUGUUGAUUUGGGGCUGUUUGGAGCACCGGAACUACCGUGAGGCGAUUUUCGGUGGUGGUUAGAGGCGGAGGCGGCGGGGGAAUUUAGGGGCGGCUAGUCUCUUAGGGUUUGGUUGAAGGAGAUAGGAAUAAGAAAGGGUUCGAAUGGGGGGUAAAGGGUUUUCGGACAGUUAUAUGAGUUUGGGAUAACUAGUUCAGAACCAUUGGAUCACUAGGAUCCAACGGUUGUGAUCAGGGAUGGGCAAAACGGGGUCGUUUAGUUUAGUGAGGGGUUGGACCGGGUAAGGGGCUUUUGGCUCGGGCGGAUUUGGUUUAGGUAAAGGAUGUGUUUGGGGCGGAUUUGGGGCAAAACUUGGGCUUCAGCAUCAAUUGGCUCAAAUUGGAUUUUAAAACCAAGCUUUUCAAUUCCCUUUUUCUUUUUCUUUUUUUUGUUUUCCUUUCUUUCUUUAAUUAAUUAAAAAUUUAAAUUAAAUUUCUAAAUUAAUCUAAGUUGUAAAAUUAACUAAUUAUCAAAUUAUAAAAUUUAUAAAAAUUAAUUGGUCCUAAAUUAAAAGAGAAGAACUACUGAUCUAGAAUUAAAAGCUAAAAAAUAUAAAAGUAAGCCAAUUUUUGUGAUUUUUAUUUUUAAUAAAGCAACUAAUUUAAUAAUUAAUCCUAGAAUACGAAAACAAAAUCUCAAUGCAAUGCAUGGUAUUUUUGGUAUUUAUUUUUUCAUAAUUUAAAUAAAAGUAAACAUGCACAGAAAUGCAAACAAUUAACAAAAAAUCCUACAAAAUCCUAUAAAAUUGCAAACAAUUGGAAAAAAUCUAUUCUUAAAUUUGUAGGAGUAUUUUACAUAGGGAAAAAAUUACGUGCUCACAGUACCAAAGGAUGUUCGAUGGGUUGUUGGCAAUAUGCUUGGAUCCGGGAGACACAAACUACGUCCUACGAGAAAUUCACUAGGGUACUUGCGGGAACCAUUUCGGUGCCAAAUCACUGGUUCACAAAGUCAUCAGAGCAGGGUAUUAUCGGGACAAUAUGGAAAAAGAUACUAAGGAGUUUGUUCGAAAAUGCGAUAAAUGCCAAAGACAUGCACCGGGGAGCAGCUUCAUUCAGUCUUAUCCCCACGGCUUUUCAUGAAAUGGGGAAUGGAUAGCGUCGGCCCUCUGCCAUCGGCCCUAGAUAAAGCUAAGUUCAUUUUAUUUAUGACUGACUAUUUCUCUAAAUGGGUUGAAGUACAGGCCUUCGAGAAAGUCAGAGAAAAAGAAGUCAUAGACUUCAUUUGGGAUCACAUCAUAUGCCGAUUCGGUAUACCCGCCGAAAUCGUGUGCGACAACGGGAAACAAUUUGUCGGCAGCAAAAUAACAAAGUUCCUCAAAGAUCACAAGAUAGAAAGGAUCUUGUCGAUGCCAUAUCAUCCUAGUUGGAACGGACAGGCCGAAACAACAAACAAGGCCAUCAUUUAGAACCUAAAGAAAAGGUUGAACGAUGGGAAAUCGACUGAAAUUUUGCCCGAAGUCCUUUGGGCGUAUGGAACAACAUCAAAAUCUAGUACGGGGGCAACACCAUUCUCCUUAGUAUAUGGCAUCGAAGCCCUGGUCCUGAUCGAGGUCGGGGAACCUAGUGUCAGGUUUCGAUAAAUAACAGAAGAAUCAAAUCACGAGGCUAUGAACACGAGCCUCAAAUUGUUGGACAAAAAAUGGGAAGCCGCCCUCGUUUGAAUGGCCGCCCAGAAACAACAAAUCAAAAGAUAUUACAAUCGAAGAGCCAAUCUCUGACACUUGAAAAUAAGGGACUUAAUUCUAUGAAAUAUCACCAUCAACACUCGAGAUCCAAACGAGGGAAAACUCGGCCCAAAUUGGGAAGGACCAUAUCGGGUCCUCGGAGUCAUCGGAAAGGGAUCUUACAAACUUGGCACGAUGAACGGCAAACAAUUACCAAAUAAUUGAAACAUAUCGCUCUUCAAACGAUACUAUUUCUAAGUUAUGACUCUUUCCUAUGUCAUUUAUAUUUGAUACUAACUAUUGCAGGUGUUCGGUCGAAGACUUCGAGAAGUUCUUCAACACAAAGACCUCAGGUUUUAAAGCAUGUGUUGCACUCCUUUUUCCUUAGAUCAGUUUUUUCCCAAAUGGAUUUCUCCGGCAAGGUUUUUAACGAGGCAACAAUUAUUUGUUCUACCUGGGGACAAUUCAACAGUAUCCGAGGCUUCCUUAUAAUCAACCUCAAAUACUGGGGGGCAUCACCCUCGGAUGUUAUGUUUUCAAGAAAAAUACUUUGUGUCAACGGGGUCUCGAUAGGUAAAUUUUGUAAAGGGCCAAACGGUCAAUUGAACCAUGCCAGUGUAGACUACUCGAGCCCUAAUGGAAAAACAUGUACGCAUGAACAAUCUAUUGAAAGAAUUACCUUUUCCCUACCAAAUGUUCCAUGUCUAAGAGAAAUUUCUACUUCACAAUUUCAUGCUUACGAUCUAUUGGAGACCGGCUCAAGAGCCAAUCGUAACUAAAGCUCGAGCAAUUAACCCCUUACCCGGGGACUGCCGUCCAAAAAUUGACAUGCUCGAAUUACUAAACUUUGAAAUCAUAAGACCUUAAAAAGUCAAUCCUCAAUUUUACAGGCCAGGCCACCCCAUUCGGGGACUGACACUUUGAACAAGUUCGAAGUAUAAGCAAGCCCAAAGGGCAAAUCUCAAGUUAAAGACUACGACCAAAUUAACAUGGUUCGGAGACGUCCGAAUUCCGUAAUCAAAUAGGCCUUCAAAUAUUUUCAUAAAACCGGUUGAAAAAGGGCUACCCUCGGGAAAUUUACAUAGGGUUUCGAUAACAACAAAAACCUUAAGAGGUAUCAAAUUAUUCGAACUCUCGAACAAACUUAUGCUAAGGUAUAACAAAGUUUUUCGAUAACAAUGAAUCCUAAUGGUUAUAGAUUUAUCUCGUGCUAAGGCAUAACAAAUUUUUACAUAAUUAAACUUUUUAAGCCUAAAAAAGGAAAAAAGCCACUCUUUUAAGGCCAUAUAGGCCCAAUUCAAGAGCCCAAGGGCCAUUGUAUUUUUGAGUUCGAGAAUCCACCCCCACUCAAUUAAAACCUAAGGAUUUUUUACUUCGAGUUCGAGCAAAUACUCACUCGAUUAUAGAGACUACACUAGUCCAAUUUCGAUCAAAUCGCCAAAGUUUCUGGUUCUCAAACAAAUUUUUUGCAAGACAACGAAACGAGUCAAUACCCUCACAAGAUAUAAAAGUAUAUCAAAAUUAUUAUAAGGUAAAGCAAAACAGAGUUUUCACAAUUCACAAAACAGAAACCAGAGACAAAUCGGAAAGAAAAACAAUCUUUCAUAGAUGCAAAAAUAUUUACAAAGACCACCCAGGGUCUUACAAAAAAAAUCCAAAAAAGAAGAAAAAUUCUCAGUGCAUAUCUUCCCCGGGAGCCUCAUCUUCAUCCCCACCACUCUCGGAUCCACUCGAGCUCCCAAAACCAUCAUCAUCAGAAAUCAAAGCUUUGGCUUCGACCUCUAGCACUUUCACGUUCUCGAUAUCGGCAGUAAGAUCAAUACCAUGAGCAUGAAUCUCUUCGUGAGUCUCUCUCCGAGAGUGGCAUUUGGCAUGCUCAGCAACGCAGAACGAUCGAACCUGAGAAGCAUCAGAAAUUUCCUUUGCCCGAGCGUGAGCGGCUUCAACGUCAGCUCGAUAGACGGCCACGACGGCCUCUACUUUGGCCUUUACUCUUUCCGCCUCAGAUGUGGCCUUUGUAUAAUCAACGGCCAACCGAACCUCGAGCUCCUCAAUUUUCUUAGCUCGGGCCAAACUAUCCGCCUUCAUGUUUUGGAGUUGAUGUUCUGCCGAAGAUAGCUGGGCCCGAGUAGCGUCUUUCUCCGAGGCAAGGCGGUCCAUAUUUUUCUUCCACCCCAAGGUCUCUGCCUUCUUCAUCUUGGCCUCCUCGCGAAGUUGCUCGAUAUUUUCGGCCUUCUCAUGAACCUGCAAGAUUGAAGUGUUAGUCAUUGUCUUCAGAUUAAAUAAGACGAGCUUCCAAAAAAUUGCUUUACCUGCUUAAUCAAGUCGGUUUGCCCUUUAUGAGCUAUUACCAAUUCAACUCUAAAGCCCUUGAACUCCUGUUCCUUUUGCUCAAUAAGGAGUUUUAGGGAAUCUCUCUCCUCUAUAAGCUUUUUGAGAUCGCUCUCACACCGGUCCAGCUCUGCCCGAAUUUAGAAAACGAGUCCCGAUGGAGCGUCAAAGCCUAUGAAGAAAGAAAGGAAAUCAGAUAAGAAGAAAUAAAGACAAAGAUAAUAUUAACAAAGGAAGCUAAGGCUCACCUGACUCAGAAGUCGAUGGGCUUCAUUGAAGAUACUCGAUGCAUCACCCAGAUCGGAAGUCUCUUCGACCCCCGUAAAGCAGCCACGGAAAAGGUCUUCCCCUUCGUGGGUCGUUCCCACAUCGGGGGUCCCGAUGGCCUGGGAUUUCUUAAAUUUCCCCCCUAAAAAAAUGCUGGGAUGGGAGAAUCGCUAAUGUCUAUUGCCCCAAGCGAGUCGCUUGGGGCGUUCUCUUCAUUUUAAAGGGCCUCAGAAUUGGCCCCUUUAGGUACAUCCACCGGUUGCCCGUCACGACGGGAGAAAUCCUCAGCCUCUGAUGACUCGGGGACUUUGCUCAAGCCAUCUUCCGAGAUUCCCUCGGUUCAAGGUUGAACCUCUUCGGUCACCACCGGCUCGACGGCCUUUGGGACCUCCGCGCUCCUCUGUCGAGCCACCAACUCGUAGUCAACAUCAUUAUUCUCCUCUUCUUCAGGGGUCUGAAUCACCACCUCCUUGUUUUCCCAACGACAAUCUUUUUUCACCUGCUCAAGAUUGCCAUCAGUUAUUGAGCAUAUGUAUCUCGACAUUGGCUCACAUCGGCCAGGUACCGACGAGGGUUUCUCAACUUUAAAGCCAGAAGUAAGAUCACAUGACCCAGGAACACACUCUUCAAUGCAUGGCUCCACCGGCUUUUUAUCGGCGACCGGCCGCGAUGAAUAGGCUUUUUCUUUUUGAGGAAUGGUUUUCGAUGUUUUCGCCAUUUUUAUACGAGUUCAGAGAAAGAAAAAGAUAAAACUUGUUGUUUGAUGAGAAGGUUGGCAAACGAUACGUGAAGAAUUGAAAAACUUGAAGGGAGAAGAAGUGCUUUGAAGAUUAGAAGAUUGAUAAAAUUAUGAAGAUGAUCUAUUUAUAAUAUUUUUUAUGACGGUUCAAGGGCACUAAGUGGCCGACCAUCAACUGGUGCUAAUUAAUGAUCUUGGGAAUCGUACCGACGCGACGCUUCUGUCGUUUCCGUCGCUUACGUCACAAGAGUGAGAUCAUAAAUGUUUGAGGUAUAAAAUCGAAGGCUCAGUUUGUUUCUUCUCAUCACACUCCAAGAAACGAGGGGACUAUCUAUAUGCGGUUGAUUUCGGGCUUGCCCGAUUUUGCUAUUUAAUCGAGACUAGGGAAUCGCUUCGGGGGUCGGCCUCGUAAUGGAUUGGGCAAGAGUACGAAGACGAGGUGUCAAGUUCAAGAAUUAAGGUGCCCAUCGAGAUCGAGGCCAACAACGAUCGAGACUAAGUAUGACCGACUUCGAGUGAAGUGCAAUGACGAAAAGGCGAGAUAUCGGUAACCGGGCGGAGAUCACGGCGAAAAUUUCGGAACAGAUCAAAUCAAGAACGGUUAUUCGUACCAAUCAUGGGAUUUACUUCCAUAAUAGAAUUGUGCCAUAACUAGGAUUCCUCUAGUAUAUAAAGGGGAGUCCCCAUUAUUUAUAAGGAACUUACAUUCGCGCAGACAAAAGCAAUAUAAUAUUCUCUCUUUAAUUUACGUUUUCUUGUUCAUCGGUUCACUGCCUUUUAAUUGUUCUUGCUUUACUAAUUCGAGGGUAUUUCAACUCGAGGGCUCUGUCCAAACACUAAUUUGCUUUACAUUAUUGUUAAUUUAUGUUGCUUAUCUUUACAUUUCUCAAUUAAUAUUAAAUGAAAUCACGUAUCCUUAAAAUCACAUUACAAAUUUAGUUAUUACUUAAUUUUUAGGGUAAACAAACAUGAAGAAUAAAGUUAUGGAUAGGAAAAGAAAACUUUAUGACCAAUUGCAGCAAAUGUCUUGAAAGUGACAUUGAAUUGGACGAGUUGUCUUCUACAUACCCCCAUUAAUCCUUAUCUACGUAUUUCGAAUCUGAUCAAAAUAUUUACGACAGUAUCUGCUUUUAUUCAACUCAUUUUGAGUUAUCUAAUUUUUUCUCAACGUUCAGUUAAAACUUUUAGCGAAAAUCAAAACCUUUGGUUAUAUCGCUUCGUUUAGACUAGCCUUACGAUAUAUUCUCGUCCUCCAAAUUUUUCAUCGCGGUUGGUUUUUAGAAAAUAUCUUCGCGUCGAAACCGCGUCGAAGCGUGACAGGGUUAUAAAUGUAAAAUCAAGAAGAGCUAACGUGCCGACAACCAGUCCCUUUUCCCCUAUAAAAUCCUCACUCUCUCUCAUUAAUUUCCUCACCCCGAUCACAAUUCUGCUUAACCCAUUUCUUAUUCAAGUACCAAAAAAUGGCAGGAAUCAUUCACAAGAUAGAGGAGAAACUCCACAUUGGAGGCCACAAGGAAGGAGAGAAAGACAAACACCAUGAGGCUGAUAAGCACAAGGAAGAAGAGAAGCACAAAAAGGAUCACGGCCAUAGCAGCGGAGAGCACAAGGAAGGGAUUGUUGAGAAGAUAAAGGAAAAGAUCCAUGGAGAAGAAGGCGGAGAGCACCAUCACAAGGAAGGAGAGGAGAAGAAGAAGAAAAAGGACAAAAAGGACAAAAAGGAGAAGAAGCACGAUGGGCAUGACAGCAGCAGCAGCGACAGCGAUAGCGAUUAGAUCUAAUCCUCGAUCCCUAAAUAAUGAUCCUUCCUUAUUAGCCUUUCUCCAAUGUAUUUCCUACUGCUUUCUGAUAUAGAUCUAUCUUCCUUACCACUUAGCAGUUGCUUGUAUGUUUUAUUGGAAUGUAAUUAACGUUUGAAUCGCUUGCUGUAUACCAUCUUUGAUUUUCUUCUUAUUUUUUUCUCGUUUUGCAAUUAAGAAAGUCAUGUGCAGUUCUUCGAUUACAUUUUAGCGGCCAAGGUGUCUCCGUCGGCAAGAGGAAGGGAUAUGGAUUACUGAAGUCAAAGAAGUGGAC
rnacentral:lncRNA from 1 species